rnacentral:lncRNA from 1 species
GGGUUGGGCUGCAUUUCCUCACAGUAAUGGUUGGAAAAUUGGACCACUCUCUCCUUUGAUCCAUGUAGCAAAAGAGCAAGGCCUGAUUCAUAAGAAAAUUAAAUGAGGGCUCUAAUUUUCUAAAUCAUGAUUUCUAGGAAUAGUCUUAGCAUUAUUAAAUUUUAUUAAACAUGGAACAUAUUUUUAUUUUAUUUUAUUUUUUUGGCCAAAAUAAGGAUUUUUAUAAGGGGCAGCAUUAUUAUUACUGCUAUAUGACGCUAAUUUUAAAGCCAUAACCAACAUUAUUCAGAUUACCCAAAUGCAAAUAAAAAGCACUUUUAGGGUCAUAAACAAUUCUGGGCUUUCAAGAAGCUAAUUCAAACAUUGCUACAAUGUUUUAGCCCCUCCUUGAUCCCAUCAAACAUAGCUUCUGUGUGAUGAAAAAAAAAAACAGGCACAAAUGGGAGUUCAAAGCCAUGGAUGUGAUGAGAGAGUACUGACUUGGAGAGCACUCAUCUUGGGGUGGGCUUUACUAUCUGUGAAACUCAUGAGGGGCUCCAUGAUUUGUAAUUUGGCAUUUAGCUUCCAAACUCAAAGAGAACUACCGGCAACCAAAUUACGCACUUCAUCCUUUUAAUGAUGGCAGAUAACAUGUUGGGUCUGGGCAUAUGGGCCGGGGAAACCACAGGAACAAGUUUAAGCCAGGAUUACCCACUCCAUUCAGCCUAGGCUUCACCAAAACAUUCUCUUUGACUCUGAAGUUUGUCAAUUAAUUCUGUGCCCAGACAAUGAGUGCGUAAAAUAAUGCUCAACACCUUUAAAUACUGUCUAAAUUUCAGUUACACUAAGGGCCAACAUAUUGAACAAGGGGAUGAAGGAUGCAACCUCAGGUCAAGGACGGAAUGAUGAUGGACCUGCAAAUGAAUAGAGAGAAGAAACCGGGACAUUCCCGGGUUCAGGCCUGGCCUUCUGGUAGUGGUGUAUCUGAUCAUAUUUUAAUGGAGCAUCAGAAGCAUAGGUUGAGUAUAUCCUCUCCAGGGCAUCAGCCUCUCUCAUUCGCAUCCGAUCGGUCUCACCCAAGUAGGGCUCUGCCCUGCCACUAAGAAAAUAAGAUCCCGCCCUGACUUCCUCUCUUCUUGGUGGUGGUGGAUAUGUAUCCACAGGUACACUAGAAUAAGUGCUAUAAUAUGGAUCUCUUGGGUAAGCAGAAGCAGUAGUUACAGUUGCAGCAGGGAUUGAAGAUGGCAAUUCGCGUCUUGCACCAAGAUGUGAAGUAAGAUACUCUCCUUCAUUUAUAAAAGUAGUGUGACGAGGAAGAGGUUCUCCAUGCACAGAAGCAGCGUUCUUUAAAAGGUGCCCUCUUUCAACUGCAGCAGCAGCAGGAUUUGCAGUUGCAGAAAAUAAAAUAAAAUCACAAAAGUUAGGGUUUGACCCAAUGUGUGGCUGAAAAAAAAAAACAUUCAAUAUCGAAAAGAAAAGGAAAAUUAGGGUUUGGCUACAGAAAAAAACAACGAAGUGUACGGGAGGCACCACCUCGACCUGCGUGAAUAGUUGAUGAAGGCGUCGAGCUCGAAAGAAAUGGUCAACGGCAUCGUUGAGUGUAGCGUCGCUGAUGGGCAUGGGAGACAUGCUGGGCCCCGUCAGGCCCACUCCUGCAGCCUGUUUCCCUCCUCUCACAUCUGAAAAACACCCUCCCAUCUUUCUCUCUAAAACAACCCUGGGAUUUCUUCUCUCUCUAGAAUUUCAUCUCCUUUGAUUACUCUAUCUGUGUAACAGAAGGCAAAGACAGUUCAUUCGCAUGCAUAAAUGAUAUUUGCAUGUGUAUAUAUACUUACUUUUCUGUUUGGUUCUCGAGAAUGUUCAAGGAGAAUUUUGGAGAAAAAAGAGGGAAACUUGCAGGAAUCAGGAUCAUGAGAAUCUGUUUUUCCUAUUUCAAAAAGCAGAAAAAUUCAGUUUUGCUGCAUCUAACAAUAAUUUAUAAAAUCAACUAGGUGUUUGGCCAUCUAACAAUAGUGUAUAAAAUAUUUGAGUGCAACAAGGCCUCCAUUUGGAUAUGAAAGAAAAUAUUAUAAAAUUAAGUCUGCAAAUAAUUUAUAGGAAAAUGAAUAAUGAGAACCCAACGGCAAAAAGAAGAAUCUUAAUUUGGGUGGGAUGCAAAAUUACCCAAAAAAAAAAAUAAACAGAGAGAGGGAGGGGGGGUGGGGUGGGGUGAAGAGUUAAUAUUUAGAAGAACUGAUGUUUCUUAUUUAAAAUUUAUUGCGUUGAUUUUUAUUUUUUUUUAAUUUCCAAGUCUUCUGCCAAGUCUUUUAAUUUCAUUUCCACAGUUUCUUCGUCUUCCUGAUCGUCACCAUGAAAUGAUGCAAGAAGAAUCUAACGGAGAACCUGUUUGGUGGGAUAGAAAAUUAAUGAAAAUUCGGAAGAAAAUUGAACUGCAGGUGUCAAGAAGCUUAUAUCAUACUACAAACAUCAUGAUUGGACCAACUCGUAGUCAUAUCAAAUACUAGACAAGUCCCCAACAGACCUGGACUAUUUUAUGGUCUCCAUGUUAGUCUCUUUGCCGUUAUUCACGGGCUUUUAUUUUGUACAUAAUCUAUGGACAAUAGAUUCAAAUUUAGCAUUAUAGUAUGCUCCAAACUUUGUUAAAAAAUUUUAAAUUAUUAAACUUCGUUAACGUUGGUAUAUAUGUCCUUACCUAAACCAUUUUAUGGUCUACGGAGUUGUUAAUGUUGCUAUAUAUGUCCUAACAAUAUUCUACCUACACCAUUUUAUGGUCUCCUUCAACCAACCCACCUUUCCGCCCUUUGUUUUUAAAUGGUGACGGACAUUGGAAGUCGUAACUUUCGGUCAUAUGAAAAGUUCCAACUUUUAGUUUGAGAUAAUGCAUGAGAAAGUAACGUCCACGUUACUUCCAUUGAUACAAAACUAUUAAAUUUGUGAGAAAUUGCACACGACUUAAAGUAAUUGACUAUUUGUCUCCAAUCACAUGAUAAGGAAAGAAAGAGAGAGAGAAAAAAUAAAAUAAAAAAAUAUUUAAAAUUAAUCAAUUAUUUUUAUAUAUCACUCGUUUCAUUUAUAUAAUUUUUUAUUUAAAAAAUAAAUAAUUUAAAAAUAUAUAAAUUUCUUACUAACUUUUAUUUGGAAUGGUUUUCUCUUUUUACUUUUUUUUUUUUUUAGUUUUAGUUGAAAGCAAGCAUAAAAUUAAUAUUAUAAAAAUUUUAUUAAGGAUGAACAAAUUUUUUUUAUAAGUCAAAUUAAAGUGCGUUUAAUAGUGGUUCUAAAAAACAUUUAUAAUAUUUUUAAUAUUUGAAAAUUUUUAUCUUUUAAAAUAUUAAAAAUGUUAAAAAUAUUUUUUAUAAUUACUGUCAAACAUACUUUAAAUACAAGAUUAGCUCUAUAAAUUAGCAUAAAUUUAGAACUUUUAUAAAAAACAAUAUUUUUCCAUCUAUUUAUUUAACUCUUUUUAAUUUGUAAGUGUUUUUUUUUUUAAAAAAAAAAAAUUGGCUAAAUAGACGUGUUCGAUAUUGAUCUUAAAAUGAGUUUUAAACUUCUCAUAUACAAUCAAGAUUAAUAUAGAUUAUAAAAACUAGUAACCCCUUACUAUGUAACUAUUUCAACAAAUAUAUCUUAUUUUAGAUUUCCAAACCCCAAGGCUCUGUUUGGGUUUUGAGAAACUUGGAAUGUUUUCAACCUAUUUUUUAAGUUUUUAAUUUUUUUUAAAUAAAAUUUCUAUGUAGUGUUUUAUUUCAUAUUUAUCCAAAGGUUUGAAAUAUCGACAAUCACGAUUAUAUUGAUACUUAAAUUUUACAAAUAUAUCAAAAAUAUCAGUGGAUAUUUUAACAAAAAUAUUGAUGGGAUGAAAAUUAUUAAAAAUUCAUGAAAAUACUUUAAAAAAAUUUCAAAAAAUGAUAAAAUAUAUAAGAAUACACGUAUUAAAGUUAUUUUGUAACUGUAAUUGAUAUAAACAUGAUCAAAUAUAAUAUUAAUCAAUUGUUUUAAGAAAAAAUUACUUAAAUUCCUUUAAUAUAUUUGUAUUCAUUUAUUUUAAAAAUUAAAAACUACUUUUAUUAAAAUAUAUUUUAUUACAUUUUAAAUAAAAAUUAAAUCGAUUUACAUAAAGUAUUUUAUUUAAGAUUUAAUUUCUAAAAUUUUGUUACAAAUUUGUGGUGACAAUUUUUUGCUGACAAUUUUUUGCUAUUAAUAUUAAUUUAUUUAAAUCAUUAAAGUUAUUAAAAAUAUAUUAAUAAUGUAUUUUAUCAAAUUAAUUUUAAUUUAUAAAACAUUAGAACUUUAUUAUUAUUAUUAUUAUUAUUUGAUAUUUUAGCCAUUUUUGAAUAAAUUAAUAUUUUUAAUAUUUUAAAAUAAAAACGUUUAAAAUUAAAUAAAAUUAGAAGGGAAAAUAUAAAAAAUUUAAAGUGAAGUGAUAAUAAUUUUUUAAAAUGGGAUUAAUGAGAUAAAUAUGAAAAAUGAUUAAAAAUAAAAAAGAUGGUAUAAAAUAAAAGGGUGAUAUAAAUUUAAAAUAAAAGAUAAUUUUUUUAAAAAAAAAUUAAAAACAUGGAUAUUUUUUUCCCAAAUUUCUCCAAUUAUUGAUGAUCAAUUAUGACCAAUGCCUAUAAACGAUUUUUCAUCGAGAUUUUGACUAUUUUUCCCAAAUUUUCAAACCUUGUUUAAAAAUUUUCUCCAAUUACUGAUGAUCAACCACGGCCUAUAACCGUUGAUAUUUGGAUGAUUUUUCCCAAAUUUUCAAACCUUGUUUAUCCCAAUAUUUUUUUAAAACAUCUCGAAUUAUUAUAUUACAAAUCUUAAAUCUUAUGAUUUUUUAUCUCUACAAUUAAUGUAAGAAUUUUUCACAUAAAAGUUUUUGUGUCAUGUGUNNNNNNNNNNNNNNNNNNNNNNNNNNNNNNNNNNNNNNNNNNNNNNNNNNNNNNNNNNNNNNNNNNNNNNNNNNNNNNNNNNNNNNNNNNNNNNNNNNNNUAUUCAUUGAUUAUCCCUAAUAUCUUCAAGUUAUAAUUUUGAUUAAGUUUUUUAACUCUCAUAUUGUAAUAUUUAAAAAUCACUUGUUUAUCCUCUCGGUGUUAUCAUAACUGACAAGUUUUUAAAACUAAAUGUACAAUUUGUUAAAACCAUUAUUUUUUUUAAAAAAAAAUUAUAACUUUUAAAACGCAUUUAACAAAAAAAAAAAAAUUGUUAUAAAAACACUUUAUUUUAUUUUUAUAAAAUAUCUUGAGUAAUAAUAAAAAAAAUACAAAAAAAAUAGAUUCCUAAUUGUAUUUCUAAACAAGGGAUCCAUGGAUUUAUCAGCAGAUGAAUGACAAAAUAUAACAUCAUUAAAUUUUAAAUUAACAUGUAAGGAAUCAAAUAACCAAGGUUUCUUCCUUUUUUGAUGGAGAAUGGGACUAUUGGAAUUGUAACUUUCCGCCAUAAAAAAAGUUCCACUUAAGAGGAUUUAAUUACAUAAAAACGUUUGUGGGUGCUUUUAGUUUCAAAGAGUGCUUUAGCAAAUAAAGCAAUAAUACGUGAUGUUGUCCAUGUGAUGAAUAAGAUCUUCAAGUUAUUUCCUUCAACCCAAAAAUAUUAAAUUUGUGACAAAUCGCAUAUGACAAUUAAUUAACAUUUGUCUCCAAAUCACAUGGUAAUGACUUUUAAUAUUUUUUGUAUCAAUCCAAUGUGACCAUGAUUAGUUUUAAUAUUUUGAUUUAUCAUAUUAGUAAUGUUUUUCUUUUAAAAAAUUAAAUAUUUAAAGGAAUAUAUUUAAACGACUAGAAAUAAAAAUAUCAAUUUUUAUGUAUAUAACAAUAAUUGAAUUUUAUGAAUAUAUUAAAAUAUAUGAGGAUCAUAGUCAAUAAAAUAUUCAAUUAAGAAUUUUGAUAUCAAUCCAAGAUUCAUGAUUAGUCCAAAUAUGAGAAUUUGAAAUCAAAACCAAACAAUCUAAACUUAGACAUAAUGGAAAACAAGUCAUCCAUGUAUUAAGGGCUCGUUUGGAAUAAUAUUCUAUAUUUGGUUUUAGUUGAAAAUAAGUCUUUUAAAAAAAAUUAACCAAAUCGACACAAAAGUUGAUAUUUCGAAAACCAUUUUCAAUAUUUGAAAAUAGUUUGUAAAAAUGAAUAUGUGAUAUUUUUUAGAGAAAAGUUUAUAUAUUUUCGAAUAUUUUUUUUUAAAAAAAUAAAGUCUGAGCAACUUCACCGCAUUGACGCAGAAGAAUCAGUUUAGUGGCAUAAGAAAAUUAAUGAGAAACUACAUGGGAGAUGCAUGGGUCAAAGUCAAACCUCGUACUUGUACGCGCACGUGUUCAUUGAAAAUUUAAAUUUCUGUAGGUGUUGUGGACUUGCAAAAAUUUCAUUGAUUAAUAUCUUCUUUGUGUUUGGUUUUUCCUCAUGGUCGAUGGAAUUGAGAAAAUAUGAGAAGAAGGCUUUUUCUCUUUUGAUUUCUUGCCAUAAUCUUACACGGAUUAUACUUAAAUGAUAAAAAAUUUUAAGUGUUAAAAAAGUUACAAUAUUUCUUAAAAUGAUUGCUAAUCAAAAUUUUAAAGUGUAUUUAACAAUGAUUUUAAUAAGCAUUUCUAACUUUUUUAACACUUCGAAAUUUUUAUCAUUCAAAUAUUAAAAAUAUUAAAAAUAUCACAUAAAAUUACUGUAAAAUGCAUUCUUAUAAUGAGUUUGGAAAUUAUUUUAAAAAACGUUUAUACCAUUUCUAACACUUAAAUAAUAAAAAAUUUUAACUGUUAAAAAAACUAAAAAUGCUUUUUAUAAUUACUGUCAAACGAAUUCUCAAUCUCUAAUUAUUUUGAUAAGUAAAUUAAUAAUUUUAUUAAUAUUUUUGUCUUUAACAAUCUUACAUAGUUGAAAGUUUUAAAAUAUUCUAUCAAAGUAGUAUAAGCUACAAUAUAUUAAAAAAAAAAAAACUUUACUCCGCUGCUGCCCGAUGAAUAGACAUAACAAAGUUUAACAUGAUUUGUUAACAUAAAUAGAGUAUAAUCAUAUUUGAAUAUUGACUAAUAUAUAUCAUUUAAUAAAUCAAUGAUUUUUGGUUAAUCUAUAUAACAAGAAUUUUUUAAGAAAAAAUCUAUUUAAUAAUCGUAAUGAUUAUCUUGAUUAUAACCAUAACCUAUAUAACCCAUAUUUAAUUUAUUUAAAAUCCGAUUUUGAAUAAAUUAAUCAAUUGAGCCAUAAGAAUGUUAGGUUGUAAGGUUAAUCCUAUUAACUCAAAUUAGACCGAACCCAACUUAGUUUAUCAAAUGAGUUAUCCAACGUCCUAAAGAUGUGUUACAUGUUUACGAAUUAAGUCAUGUUUGGUGUUGGGUAUAAAGUGUAGAGACAUUAGCAUCUGCUGGAAAAAUUGGUGUUGGAGUGAGUGCCUUUGCAGGGUUGGGCUGCAUUUCGUCAUAGUUAGUAAUGGUUGGAAAAUUGGACCACUCUCUCCUUCGAUGCAUGUAGUAGAAGAGCAAGCCCUGAUUCAUAAGAAAAUUAAGUGAGAGCUCUGAAUCAUUUCUAGGAAUAGUCUUAGCAAUGACCAUUACUGCUACAUGGUGCUAUUUUCAAAGCCAUAACCAACAUUAUUCAGAUCACCCCAAUGCAAAUAAAAAGCACUUUUUGGGUCAUAAAUAAUUCUGGGCUUUCAAGAAGCUAAUUCCAACAUAGCUUCUGGAAAACAAAACAGAGACGAAUGGGGAUGGAUGUGCUUAAAAUUGGUCUAUAUCAAUUUAUAAAGUUGUGUUUUUUUUUUAUAUCACUUUUCUCACGUAAAGAAAAAUUCUCCAACUCAAAUCCAUCUUUUCCCUUAUUUUCCAAGCUUCACUUUAUUCCUAACUUUAUUUUAAAAUAAAAAAUACAAAAAUACAAAAGAUUAGAAACCAAAAACCAUCAUAGGGACUAUUUAGACUUUGUUUAGGAAGUACUUUUAAAAACAAAUUUGAAAAAUAGUUCUUAAAAAUAAUUCUCUACGCUAAAAGUGAACCUUAAAUGUUCUUAACUUAUUUUAUAUAUUUUAAAGGUAAUUUUUUUAUAUUUUUAAAAAUAACGUUUAUCUAUAAUGUUUUAUUUUUAAUCAUUCUUCAUAUUUAUAUAAUUAUUUUUUAAAGUAGUCCUUAGAAAAUAAAUGAAAAUAAUGAUUCUUUUUUUUUUUUUAAUAAAAGUUAUUGUGUUCUAUUUUUAAGAACAAAAAAUUAUGCUAUGUGGGAAGCGAUUUCAAAAAUAGUCUUAAAAAACAAUUUUUGAAAAUUGUUCUAUUAUGCUUUAUAGAACACAGUUUUAUUUAGGAACUUGAAAAUAUUUUUAACUUAUUUUCUAUAUUUUUAAAUACAAAAUAAAUUUUAUUUAUAAUUCUUUAUUUUUAAUUAUUCUCUAUAUUUAUAUAAUUAUUUUUUAAAACUGUUCUCAGAAAACAAUUUAAAACAUUUUAAAAUAUCUCUUAAAAUAACAUAUAUUCUAUUGUUAAAAUCAAAAAAUUAUUUUUAUUUUAAAAAAUAAAAAAUUAUUUUCUUUUUAAUUGUCAAAUAUAGUUUACUUUUUUUCUAGGGCCCAAAAAUUAACAUUUGAUCCAUAUAUCAUGCAUAUUUAAGCCCAAGACCCAAACAAAGUAUAAAAAUUAAAAUGAAGGAUACUGUCUUUCAUUAAUCCCUAAAAUACCCUUAACCCUUACAUAGGUAUUUUUUUGUGUUUUUUUUUCCCUUUUCUAUUCCCUGUUAAGUAUUACUCAUUUCUAACUUUUUUUUUUUCUUUCAAUCUAUAUUUCUAUUUUAUGUCAAAUAAAAAGUAAUAAUGUUUUUUUUGUUUUUCAUUUUUAAAGAUAUUGAAUCUUUUUGCUCUUAUUAUAAGCAAUGAUAAAAAUUUUGGGAUUUUUCAUCCAAAUAAUUUUUAUCUUUUUGUAUUUAUCUUUUAGUUUAAUUUUCAUUUUUAUUUUAAAUUUAUAUUACCCCUUCAUUUAUAUUUUUCUCUUAUUUUUAAUUAUUUUUUAUAUUUUCUACAUUAACCAUAUUUUAAAAUUUUUAAAAAUUGACUAUUACUUCACUUUAUUAUAUAUAUAUAUAUAUAUAUAUAUAUAUAUAUAUAUAUAUAUAUAUAUCCUUUUAGCUUUUUAAUUUUUAAUGUUUUUAUUUUAAAAAUAUAAAUUUAUUGAAAAAAAUAACUAAGAUAUGAAGUUCUAAUAUUAUAUUAAUAUUUUUUCUUAUCUGGAUAGACUAAUGCAAAGUAUUUUGACUCACAAGAAAAUUGUCAAUACAAUUUUUUAGUUAAACUUUGGAAAUUAAAUUUAAAAUAAAAUAUAUUAUAUAAAAUUUUGUCUAAAAAUUAUUGAAAGUAGUAUUUAAUUUUUUUAUUGACUUUCAAACUUAUCUAAUUUUUUACUUGAAAGGUAAUAAAACAUGUUUACAAAAAAUAUUAGUUUUUCAUUUUUUAAAUAAAUGAGUAUAAAUAUAUUAAAAGAAUUAAAGAUAAUCUUAGUAAAAAAUUUGAUAAAUAUGAUUAUAAUUUUAAAUAUAGAUUCAUUUGGAUAAAAUUUCACAAAAAAAAAAAGGUAGAAAGAAAGAACAUUGCUAAAACUACAAAAACAAAAUAUGCAAUUACAAAAUUUUGACGAUGAAAUUUAAAAAUAAAAUUCGAAACAAUUCUUGAGUGAGAAUUUGAGUGGAGAAAAAAAAUCUUUGAGUGGAAAAAAAAAAAGGGAAAGUUUUUCAAAAUCACUUGAAAUCCUUAAUAAAAAGUAGUCUUAUACAACCUUAUACAAUUAGUAAAUUUGUCGUGUACAGUUAGUGUAAUACCCUUGUACAAUAACUCAAAUUUUAUACAUCAUCUCAUGAAUAUUUGACAAUAGGUUGGUUAACCAUGUUUGCAUUGGUUUUGUUUUAAAAAAGAAGAAAAAUUGUUAUAGAAUUUUAUUUUACAAUCAUCAUAAGUGAGGUACAUAUUCAAAUGACCUUAUACAAGUUAGAUAAAGUGCAUGAGAUAAAUAUAUGCUUAACCAAUAUGUGUAAGGAAUGUCAUUUAUCAUCGGUUAGGGAAAAUAAACAAACAAGUUUUUCAUAAUCACUAAAAAUUCUUCACAAAUAAUAGUCUUGUACACCCUUGUACAGUUAGUAUAUUUGUCAUGUACACUUAGUAUAAAUACCUUGUACAGUGACUCAAAUUCCAUAUACCCCCUAAUCAAUAUGUAACCAUAGAUAGGUUAACCAUAUUUUCAUUGGUUUGUUUAAAAAAAUAGUGGAAGAUGGAAAAACAAAAUUUUCUCUCAAAUAUCAUUAGUGGGAUAAGUAUUCGAAUUAUCAUGUACGAAUUAAAUAAAGUGCAUAAGUUGAGUGUGUAAUAGAGGAAUGUGUACCUUAAGAGUAUACAAUCCUUAUAUGACAAGACAAAAAAAAGUUUAUUUAUUCAGUUCCUUUUAUUUUUGGAAAUAAAAAAAAUAAAAAAUUUAUUUAACUAUAAGAAAUAUGAAUAUAAGAUCAGUUAAAAAAUACCAAAUUUAUUUACUUAUUUCAUUUUAUUUUUGGAAUUAAAGAAUAAAAAAUAAAAAAUUUAUUUAACCAUAAAAAAUAUUGAUAUAAGAUAUGUUAAAAAAUAGAAAUAACCUCAAAUUUAUUUACUUAUUUCAUUUUAUUUAUUUAAAUUAGAAAGUAACUUAUUUUAAUAGAUUAAAAUGUGCACAAUUUAUUUAUUACUUUGUUAAUUAUGGAUAUAUUAAAAUUUUCUAUUAGACAAAAAAUUAAAUAAAGGAAAUAAAAUUAAAAGAGUAAUAAAUAUAUAUAAUUUAGUUAUUUAAUUAUUUUUCAUGUAAAAGAUAGUCCCACAAAAAACACAUAAUUGAUCAAUUUCUUUGUUUAAUUGUAAACCUACUAUAUUUUUUUUUUAUAUUAUUAUUAAAAUAACUAAUGGAAAAAAAAUGGAUAAUCAAUGAAUGGAAUUUAAUUCUUUUUAUUAUUUUCAUAUAAAAAAUAGUACUAAACAAGGUUUUCAAUUUUUAUUUUUAAAAAUAGUUUUCAUUUUUAAUUAUAUGUUUAUUCAAAAAGAAAAUAUAAAAAAUAUAAAUCAUAUUACCAUUUUUUUAGAAAGUAUUUUUUAAAAUAGUUUUUUAACAUAAUUUUUCAUUAUUUAUAAUUUAAAAUAGAAAAUAAUGCUGCUUUUUAAUUAUUUAUAAAAAAAAAUUUAAAAAUAAUGAAAAAUCAAAAUUAUUAAAAUAGAAUUAUUAUGGUUGUAUGAAUAGUGGUGCAAUAAAGAUAAAAAAAAUUUAUGUGAAAGGUCAUUGGGUAUUUUAGUCCAUCACUAUUGUAUAUCUUUAAAAGGUAAUAUAUAGAAAUUUGAAACAUAUAUUGGUCUUUUAAUAUCUUAUAUCAUUUCCAUUAAUUAUGAAAGUUAUAUGGACCAAAUGUUAAUUUUUUGGGUCCAAUAUUUUCAUAUAUUUUUUUAUUCUGUAUAAUAGAAACAAAAACAAAUCCCAAAUAAGGUUUUUUUUUUUUUUCCUGAUUUUCAAACAAAAACAGUUACUAAAUAAGGUUUUUAUUUUUUAGUUUUCAAGUAUAUUUUUCUUUUCUUUUCUUUUCUUUUUUUAUUAUGCAUAAUAGAAAAUUAUUUUAAUAUAUAGUUGUCAAAUAAGGAGUUAAUAUAUAUAUAUAUAUAUAUAUAUAUAUAUAUAUAUAUAUAUAUAUAUAUAUAUUAUUUUUAAAACUUUACGUUCUUCCUAUCUUUACUUUAAAGCAUGAAUCAUCAUCAUGGGCCCACUAGAGCCUUGUGCUCUUUCCAUCAUGUUUCAUAUGACUCCUUGUUUUACUUUCUUCAUUGAUACAACUGUCUUAUCUAACUGUGGGUAAUAAUUAAUAAUGGAGGUCACUUUUCAGCACAUGUAAGAGAUCUAUAACAACCAAGGAUUGAAAUAUCGGUAAAUACGGAUAUAUCGGUACUUGGAUUUUACGGAUAUAUCGGAAAUAUCGGAGAAAUAUCGGUGGAUAUUUUUCAUCAAAUAUCGAUGAGACAAAAAUUAUCCAAAAUUGAUGGGAAUGCUUAGAAAAAUCCAAAGAAUGAUAAAAAUAAGCAAGAAUAUACAUGUUAAAGUUAUUUUAUAAGUGUAAUCAAUGUUUUCAGAACCGGACCGAUGAUCAAACCGGUGACGUCAUAAAUAUAUAAUUUAUAUAUUAUUAAAAUUAAAAAUAAUUAUAAAAAUUUUAAAAUAUAUAUGAAUAAAUUAAACAUCAAUAAUAUUAUUUUAUAUCUUUGAUAUUAUCAAAUUAAAUCAUAUUAAUAUUUUAAAUUUUAUUAAAUGAAAUAUGUAUAAUAUUUAAAUGUGAAUAUAUAAAAAAAUGAAAAUUUAAACUAAUUUCAUAAUUUUUAAAAAUAUUAUAUUAUUUUUAUUUAAUAUUAUAAAAAAAUUUAAAAUCUAAUAUAUAUUGUUUUGUUUGGCAUAUUAGAUAACAAAACACAUGUAGCCUAGUGGUGUCCUAGGUGGACUAUAGUAAAAGAUUGGUCCAAGGUUCAAAUCCUCUUGGUGGAGUUUUGUUAUGUUUUUUUUCAUUGAUAUUUAGCAAUCCCACAUCGGUCAAAGUCUUGGCAUGGUCUUGUGGGCUGAAAAAAAAGCCCACAGUAAUUGGAGUGGAUAUGUGGGCUGUGUCAUAAGAUAGGCCCAACAUGGAAUCCUUCCUUUCAUGCUUACAAUGAGAGGGUAAUAUUUUUAUUUUGUAAUUUUUUUUAUAAAAAAUUAAAUUACACGGGUGAAAUCUGGUUGGAAAAAAUCGGCGAUAUAUCGCCGAUUUUGCCGAUUAAUCGCCGAUUUUUUUCCAUCCACCUCCGUCUUCUCCGCGCGUGCCUCCACUCGCCAAUUUUUCGCCGAUUUUUCGGUUCUCCGCCGAUAUUUCGCCAAUAUAUUGGCGAUUUUGCCGAUUUUUGGCUGAUUUUUCCGUCGAUCGAUAAUCGGUGACGAUUAUCGUUUCGGUGCCGCCCGAUAUCCGAUAUUUCUCCGAAAUAUCGGCGAUAUUUCUCCGAAAUAUCGGCGAUAUUUUUCGAUUUUUCAAUCCCUGAUAACAACAACAACAAUAAUAAUUAUGCAACAAAAGGAAACAAAAUAAUAUAUUUUUAAAAAUAUUUGUUAUGAAAAUUUUUAUGCUUAGAGGUGAGUUGGGCAAUGAUUUUCUAUUUUAAAAUUUUAUAAAAAAAAUUUUAAAAGUCAAACUUGAUUUUUAAGUCUUUGUUAUCUCAUUUAAACAAUAAAAAUCAAAAUAGGAUACAUUUGCAUAAUUAUUUUUUAUUUUUUUAAAAAAAGACAAUAAUACUAAAAAUGAAAGAGAUUUCAUUUUUUUUUAAACUACAUUUUGUAUCCACUACUUAUUUUUUAUUUUUGAAAAUAAAAAACAAACUAAUAAAUUUAUUUUAUAUCUUUAUAAAUCACUUUCAAUUUUUAAAAAAAAAUUAAGUUAAUAAAGGUUUUUAUAUUUGGAAUUUUUUAAAAUAAUUUUUAAAACCAUUAUCUCUUCAAUAUAAACAUUUAAAAAUUUCUAAUUAUUAUAUAAAAAAUAAUAUAAUAUUUUUUAUUUUAAAAACAAAAAUAGAAAAUAAAAAGUGUAUUCAAACUUGGUUGAUUUAAUUCACAAGAACUUUUUAAAACAUAUGUAAUAAAUUAUGAUUAAGUAAUUUUGAAGUCAAUGAAGAAGAUAAAAGGAAAUAAUUUUAGUAGCCAAAGCCCUUUGAAUCGUUGUUGUGGGGGUCACAUACUCACAAGUCACACCCCUCAAACACGUGUCUUCAUACCUACUGUUUACAUCAGGGAUCUACUAGCUUUUUGCUUGCGUUUUGUCUAGGAAUGGCAAUUUCGCGGGUUUUCUGGGUCACCCUCCCCGCCCCGCCCCUAUUGGGACGGGUAUAGGAACAUGGCAAUCGGGGAUGGGCUGGGUUCAGGCUUUUUUUAAAAACCCAAAUCGGGUUCGGGGCAGGGUCGGGUAUAGUUAUAAUUUGACCCACCCUGCCCUGCCCCGCCCCGAAUAUGAAAUUACAACUUUACCCCCCACUUAUAAAUAUUAGCUUCCUCUCCUCAUUUCAGGUCUUCUUCUCUCAGUUCUCGUUCCUGUCAACACUAGGGUUUUUCCUCCCACUCAAUGGAGAAAUCCAUCAGAUAAUCCAUUCGAAAAUCCAUUCAAUAAUCUCAUUUCCUCCAUCUCCUCUCGAUUCAUCCUUGUCUAUCCCAUAUUCACAAGAAUCACAACUAUUAUCUUCACGUAUCUACAAACCGGUAAGAUUUUUUUGUUGAUUUUUUGGUUGAAUGAUGCCUUGAUUUGGCGUUGUAGUCUGUUUCUAAUUCGAGAAAGAGAUACGAGAUUUAGGAUUUUUCCAUUUCCAGUUUCAGAUUACUGAAAGAUUUUUUUUUUCUAUUAGUUUUUGAGUUGCUAUUUAGGGUUUUGAAUCCUUUUCUUGCGAAUCUUAAUAGGGACAAAGCAACUCUUAUCGUCAAAUGUUUCCACUCCCUUCAUAUUGUUUCUAGGGUUUCUUUAAUUUUUUCUUGCUAACCUUUGGGUUUGUAAUGUGUAGUAAUUAUUUUAUCUUUCUGCAAAAAGAAAAAUUUUCAGUUAAUUCCUCUCAUUCGCGCAGCUCUUUUGUAGCUUGGCUUGUUGAGUUCUUUAUUUCGCUUUAGGUUAUUUAUUUCUUGGUGUUGAUUGCCACUUGCAGUUGAAUUUGGUUAUUUUGGUUUUAAUUUUAUUAUUGUUGGCUUAUGGGUGUUUAUACAGAGACUUGAGAUUAGUUCAUAUAAGAUUUUUAGGUUUGAUUGUGUGGAAUUUCUAGUUACCGUUUUCUUCCAAAAGCUUGUAGGCCACUGGUUUUCACUAUAAUUGCAUCAACUAUCAGUUUUGUCUAAAAAAAUUGGUGAACUGCUCUCAUCCAUAAAUGUCUAUGUUUUAUGUCAUUUUUUUUGGUGGUGGAUAAAAAAAAUCUAUCAUUUAUGUCAUUUUUUAGUGUUUCUAUUUUUUAUUCAAUCAUGUUUGUCCAUUGAUACAUUUGAAAUUAUUUUUUAUGCUGUGGAUGAAUAUUUAUUGGUUUCAGUUGUAAAAGGCUUUGAAUGUUUAGUUGCUGAAUUUCUACCAGGCCUCCAUAACAUAUAAACUUUUGAGGUAAAUGGUCUUGGAUGUCACAAGACUUGUGCUUCACGAAUAAUCUUCUAUUUGCUAGGGUAGAAGCAAGCCUUCUAGUUGGGAAAUCAUUCUCAACAUGAUUUUCAUUUGAGAUUUGAUGGCUCUAUGGUUUGUCAUUUUUGUAUUGUUGUUGCUGUUUUGUUUCUCUUUGGUUUUGCUCUUUUGAAGUUCAUCUAUUACUUGUUCUAUGGACAAAAGACAAAAAAAUGGGAUGGUUUAGGAUUGUAAGGAAGCCAAGUUCAUUUUUAUACUUUCUUUGUUCUAGCACAGUCCCUAAACCUUUAAAGCAUACGUCAUAUUCUUCUUCCAUUCAUUUAGCCCUGUAUAUGCUGCAGGUAUAAUGUUGCUAUGAAAUGUGCUACAAUAACUCCUGGUUAGUUAACUUAUUAUUCUCUAGAAUAUUUUCCUUUCUUGUGGCUGUUAAUUCAUGCACAUGCUACUCCUAUAGUCUGUAGUCGUUUUUUUGUGAUCAUUCUCUUAGUUUUUUCUCAUUAAUUAAAUUCAUGUAGAUACUUCCAUAAAAAGGAAAGAAAAGGUAUAUAAGCUCCAUACUUCCACAAAAAGAAAAUAAAAAUAUGUCCCCUAAGGCUUGGCUUGGGUGACAAGAAGGAAGGGAAAGUUUUAAGUUUAAUUCCAUGUAAAAGAAGGUUACCUAUUAAGAAAAGGAAGACAGGUUAGAUGUAGAAUUCAUUGUAACACUAAGAUACAAUCUAGUGACACUAAUAUUCAUGUGCUUUUUACUAGUAACUAUUACAAAUGAGUCAUUUGCCCUUGUUUAAUUUUUAUGAAAUUGCCGCUUUUGCUUCCAUGCCAAAUCCCAUUCAAUAUUUUUCAGCUGUAUGUGUUUUGUGCUAGUGGUCUCCAUAUUGUGCCAUUCAAUAUAGAAUUAUUCUUCCCUAAAAUUCUUUUGUCUUUAGAGAAUUUGAUUUGCAAAUUUUGUCCGUUAAUAGUUUUGAUAUUGGUUAAAUAUUCCUAAUUUCAAGGUUUUUUUUUUUUUUUUUUUUUUUUUCUGGUUAUUACUUUUUAGAAUAUUCUUUGCCCAAGCCAAGAGUGAUUUCAGGAGAAAAUUUUGAAAUUAUGAAAUUUGAUAGCAAUUCAUUAGUUAUUUGUCUGCGAGGUCAAAUAGUUUUUUCUUAGCAUGGUCUAAAUCAUUUUCAAUUUAAUAAUUUGAGUCUUGAUCUAACCAUGCUUUUCAUGUUACAGAAGUUGUAGCUAUCACAAUUCCCAAUCGAUUAUUGAUAAUUGCUACCAGUGAAGGCUUAAAUCAACAGAGAACUGGGGUAAUUCUUGUAGCAUUCAUAUUAUGUAUUAGUUAAAGUUUAUCCAAGUUCAGAUCCUUACCUAUAUAAAAAAAAAACAUGUUUAUAUGCUAGCUUUUCAUUGGCCUUGGAGGGAGUUUGCUUUCCUCCUUUGAGCUGAAGGUUUAAGUAAUGGUACAAGCAGCAUAAGAAACUGAAAUGAAGGUUGGGUUUUUAAUUGAACUGCUUUGCAAGGGUUGAGGUAAGAGUUCAACUGGGGGUUGGAGUUGGUGGAGUUCUUUAUGGAUGAGGCUUGUUGAUGUGGAGAUUAAGUGAAAUGGAAAGGUUUAAAAGUGGAGAGGUUUUCCUUAGAACUUCUUUUGAUUUGAUAUCGAUAGGAGUAGUUGUCAACUGCCCUACUUUAGAGACUUGGAAAAUCGCGCCAACACUCUGAAAGUGGCCUAUCUUUUAUCUUGAUGGGGGGAUAGGAGAGGAUUUUGACACCAAAUCAUUUGGUGUGUCGAUGGAGGUACUUGGCAAAUUGGUGUUGCAUGUGCAGACAUGGAGUCAAUUAACCAUCUUUUGAGCCCUUGUCCUGAUGCUUGGGCUUUUGAGCACUAGUUUUCAUGUAUUUUUUGUAGUUUCUUGGGUGCUUCCAAGAACAAUAGGAGAGCUACUUGUGAAUUUGUUUGGAGAUAUAGGAGGCAAGAGUGGAGUAGUGUUCCCUUCAAGUUAUAGGGGAAUGAAACUCCUCACAACAGAGUAUAAGAUUGUUUUAAGAUAUUUGCAUGCUUUGGACAGAGGGUGAUAUUUUGAUAUGGACAUGCUCUUUUAUGAGCUCAUAAAUAGUUUAGGUUAUACAUAGGUUAAGAAGCUAUUAGCUUUUGUUUGCUUUGUUUUCUGUCCUUUUUUUUUUUGUCUUAAUUUCUUCUCACUUCCUAUGGGUUAUCCAUAUAAAUUGCAUGUGUUUUUCGGUUGCACUGCCCUCGAUGCUUUUCUAUUACAUUUAUUUUCCUAUUAAUGGAAACUAUGUUGACAUCUUGUAAUUCUUGGAGGUUAACCUAAAUACAAUCUUGCCUUUUAAACCCUUGCUUCAAGCCCUAUCCAAGCUUUAGGUUAUUAAUUUAGGUUUGAAUGUUUUACUCAUAGGCUUUAUUUUAUAUUAAGAAAAAUGACAUCAGAAGAAUGGGAAAACUUUUCCAUGCCAAGUGCGGGUUCAACUCUAAUUACAGGCAGUACUUCAACUACUGAUGGAACCUUGGUAUCUAAAAGAAGAAAGUUGACUUUGGUUGUUUGGAAUGAUUUUGAUAAAAUCAUAGAAGAUGGACAAGAUUAUGCUAUUUGUAAGCACUGUAAAGGAAAGCUUAAGGCCGAUAGCAAGAAUGGGACAAAACACUUACAUGUACACAUAGAUAGGUGCAUGAAAUGAAGAAAUGUUGAUAUUAGGCAACAAUUAUUGGCAGUAAAGAUAAAAGGUCAUGGAAAAGUUCAAAUUGGUGGUGUGGACCCGCAUUUUUCACGUGCGUCCCCACUCGAUCGGCAAGACUCGCUUUUUAUUUGUGAAAAAUUGAUUUUUGAAAAAAAGUUGGAGUCGCCACUUAUUUUAUUUUUUAUUUUAAGGGAAAAUAAAACAAGAAAUAAAACCCUAAAAAUAUGACUCCAUAAUUUUUGGAAAAGCGUGUCUUUGAAAAACCUGAGUCUAAGUCCGGGGAUCAGAUUACCUAUUGGGAAGGUACCUUUAAAAGGUAGCACCCCUCUAAGCCCUCUAAAGGUCUCUACUAACUAAGUUAAGGGGAAUAUGACAAUUAAUCGGUUAAUUAUGGAUACCUGAGUAGGCUAAGGUGAUUUCAAAAAAUAACAUGCCAAAUAGGAUCAAAUUGUCAUAAAAGAAAGGUUAGGAUGCGUACCUGAACCGCUUCUCAAGUNNNNNNNNNNNNNNNNNNNNNNNNNNNNNNNNNNNNNNNNNNNNNNNNNNNNNNNNNNNNNNNNNNNNNNNNNNNNNNNNNNNNNNNNNNNNNNNNNNNNNNNNNNNNNNNNNNNNNNNNNNNNNNNNNNNNNNNNNNNNNNNNNNNNNNNNNNNNNNNNNNNNNNNNNNNNNNNNNNNNNNNNNNNNNNNNNNNNNNNNNNNNNNNNNNNNNNNNNNNNNNNNNNNNNNNNNNNNNNNNNNNNNNNNNNNNNNNNNNNNNNNNNNNNNNNNNNNNNNNNNNNNNNNNNNNNNNNNNNNNNNNNNNNNNNNNNNNNNNNNNNNNNNNNNNNNNNNNNNNNNNNNNNNNNNNNNNNNNNNNNNNNNNNNNNNNNNNNNNNNNNNNNNNNNNNNNNNNNNNNNNNNNNNNNNNNNNNNNNNNNNNNNNNNNNNNNNNNNNNNNNNNNNNNNNNNNNNNNNNNNNNNNNNNNNNNNNNNNNNNNNNNNNNNNNNNNNNNNNNNNNNNNNNNNNNNNNNNNNNNNNNNNNNNNNNNNNNNNNNNNNNNNNNNNNNNNNNNNNNNNNNNNNNNNNNNNNNNNNNNNNNNNNNNNNNNNNNNNNNNNNNNNNNNNNNNNNNNNNNNNNNNNNNNNNNNNNNNNNNNNNNNNNNNNNNNNNNNNNNNNNNNNNNNNNNNNNNNNNNNNNNNNNNNNNNNNNNNNNNNNNNNNNNNNNNNNNNNNNNNNNNNNNNNNNNNNNNNNNNNNNNNNNNNNNNNNNNNNNNNNNNNNNNNNNNNNNNNNNNNNNNNNNNNNNNNNNNNNNNNNNNNNNNNNNNNNNNNNNNNNNNNNNNNNNNNNNNNNNNNNNNNNNNNNNNNNNNNNNNNNNNNNNNNNNNNNNNNNNNNNNNNNNNNNNNNNNNNNNNNNNNNNNNNNNNNNNNNNNNNNNNNNNNNNNNNNNNNNNNNNNNNNNNNNNNNNNNNNNNNNNNNNNNNNNNNNNNNNNNNNNNNNNNNNNNNNNNNNNNNNNNNNNNNNNNNNNNNNNNNNNNNNNNNNNNNNNNNNNNNNNNNNNNNNNNNNNNNNNNNNNNNNNNNNNNNNNNNNNNNNNNNNNNNNNNNNNNNNNNNNNNNNNNNNNNNNNNNNNNNNNNNNNNNNNNNNNNNNNNNNNNNNNNNNNNNNNNNNNNNNNNNNNNNNNAAGUUCCUCAAAGACGCGGCUGUUCCAGAAGUUCUCAAGGUGCGGGUGAUGCUGAAAGUUCUUCAAAGGUGCAGCUGUUCCAGAAGUGCUCUCAAAGGUGCGGAUGAUGGCUGAAGGUUCCUCAAAGACGCGGCUGUUUAUUUCUCCAAGUGGCAGCCGUGUGAAUGGAUCUCCUUUACGUGGAGAUGUGUGUUGAAUCUUCCUUCAAAGGAGUGGUGCGGCUGGUUCUCGAUGCAUGGUGCGGCUAUGGUGAGUUCCUCUUCAACUUGCAGCCGUGUGGGUACCUUUGGAGAGGAAUGAAAUCUCAGUGCAUGGUGCGGCUCCUUCAAUGCAUGGUGCGGUUGCCUCCACUUUCUUUCUCAAUGGUUUUCCUCACGUCCCAGAAUGGUGCCGCUGCACCCUCUCAUCUUCAGAAGAAAUGACCUUGCUCUUCCUUAAGGGGACGGCUGCAUCUGUUCUUGUCUUUCAAUGGUGCGGCUACACCUUGCACUCCUCUACCGACAGAAAGAACCCACUCCUUUCAGACCACCUCUCUCCCUUUUUUUUCUUUUUGGUGCAGUUGUCGAUCUCCUUUUCUCCUCUCCAGCCACAGUGAUGGAAGACACCGUAGGAAAGGUUCCUCUCUCUGAUCUUUUCCUCUCUUCUUGAAUGCAAAAAUAUUUUCUUUCUUUCCUGGUGCAGCUGCCCUUCCCUCCAGAGAAUCCUUUCCUCCUCAAUGGUCCCGUUGACUCUACCAAUAUGGAAAAAAUCCCUCACCGGUCUAGAGAAAACCUGUAAUCUUCCGCAUCAGUCCAACAUGAUUAGAACCCUCCCUUCUGAACCUAGUCUUCAUUCCGUCCAAAUACCCAUUGAACCUUUCCUUUUUCCAUGCCAAAAUAGCUUUGGUAAUUUUCUUUCUUCAUUCAUUUCCUUCCAUCAAAAGCACAAUCAGCACAUGCAUGGGUGCAUACUUGCUCUCUUUCUCAGUUCAUUUCCUUCCAUACGUCCUCUCCUCUUCCAACCACCUUGGAUCUAUCCUUCAACACAUGCAUAUCUUUGCCAAUACAUGUUUUCAACCUUCCCUUUUCUCUCCAGUGAUGAUUCCUUUGGUGAAUUUCUCUACAAAAAUAUAAAGAAAAUUAGACUUAAUGAAUGAAUCCCAAGGUGUUUUAGAAAAUUAUAAAAUAAACAAACAAAUUAAAUUAACAAGAUAGUUAAGUAAAUAAUGAUAACAAUAAUAAUAAUAGUAAUAAUAAUAAUAAUAAUAAUAAGAACUCAUUUCAUGCAAUUAUAAAAUAAAAUAAAUAAACAAAAAUACGAAUAAUAAUGAUGAUGAAAUAGUAUAAAUAUAUCAAAAACUCACUUAAUCUUAAAAGCAAUCAAUAAAAUAAAUAAAUAAAUAAAACAAGAAAACAAAUCUAAGUGAAACUAAACCUUGAAAAGUGUUUAAGUGGGCCUAAGGCGAUACCUAAUGGGCCAAGUGUGUCUAAUGGGCCUAAGGUGCACUAAGUGAACCUAAAGUGAUGCCUAAUGGCCCAAGUGUACCUAAAUGGGCCUAGGGUACCUAAAUGGGCCUAAGGUGCCUAAAUGGGCCUAAGGUGCCUAAAUGGGCCUAAAGUGGCUAAAUGGGCCUAAGGUGCCUAAAUGGGCCUAAAGUGAUCUAAGUGGGCCUAAAGUGUCUAAAUGGGCUUAAAGUGAUGCCUAAUAGGCCAAGUAUCUAAAUGGACCUAGGGUGAUGCCUAAUGGGCCAAGUGUGGUGCCUUAGUGGGCCUAAAGUGCCUAAGUCUAAAUUAGAGCUGCCAAAGGUCACAAUAAGAGGUCAAAUCAUCCUUCAACCAUAGUCUCCAAGGUGGCUUAGAAAAUAUAGGCUACACGAGUAUUAACAGGCCACCAGGGAAUUGCUAUAAACGACAUGUGCGAGGAAGACAAAAUAGAGGGUCUACAGGUGGUUUUACCUUUGAUCAAGAAAUCUCAAGAGAGAAGCUUGCACGUGCAAUUAUAUUGCAUGAGUACCCACUUUCAAUCGUUGACCAUGUGGGGUUUAGAGAAUUUGCUACUAGUCUCCAACCCUUGUUUAAGAUGGUUUCCUGCAAUACGAUUAAGGGUGAUAUAAUGAAGAUUUAUGAGGUUGAGAAAGAUAAGAUGAUUAGCUACUUAGAGAAACUUCAAAGUAGAGUUGCUAUCACAAUUGAUAUGUGGACAUCAAAUCAAAAGAAAGGCUACAUGGCUAUCACUAUACAUUACAUUGAUGAGUCUUGGUUACUGCACCAUCAUAUUGUUAGUUAUGUUUUUUUUUUUUUUAACUUCCAAAGUGUUUUUUUAUUUGAUCCUUUAUUGAUAUUGUUUGUGUUAAUGAUAUUUUUUAUUCUUAAUUUAGGUUUGUUAUAUGUGCCUCCUCCACACACAAAAGAAGUUUUUUUAGAUGUAUUAAUGAAUUUCUUGUUGGAUUGGAAUAUGGAUAGAAAAGUUUCUACAGUCACUGUGGAUAAUUGCUCAAGUAAUGACGGAAUGAUCAAUAUCUUGGUGGAGAAAUUAUAUUUGAGCGAUUCACUCUUAUUGAAUGGAAAAAAUUUUCACAUGCGAUGUGCGACACAUGUGUUGAACUUAAUUGUUAAGGAAGGUUUGGAUGUCAUUGAAGUAGAAAUUGAAAAAAUUCGUGAGAGUGUUGCAUAUUGGUCAGCAACCCCAUCAAGAAUGGAAAAGUUUGAAGAUGUAGCUCGCCAAUUGCGUAUUCCAUGCAAUAAGAAGUUAAGUCUUGAUUGUAAGACACGAUGGAAUUCCACAGACUUGAUGUUAUCAAUUGCUAUAACAUAUAAAGAUGUGUUCCCACAUUUGAAGCAACGUGAAAAAUACUACAUGGUUGUGCCAUCAGAGGAAGAAUGGAAUAUGGCAAAGGAAAUAUGUGGAAGAUUGAAAUUUUUUUACAACAUAACAGAGUUGUUCUCAGGACGAAAUUAUCCCACUGCAAAUAUUUUCUUCAUCAAAGUGUGCGAAAUCAAAGAGGCAUUGUAUGAUUGGUUGAUAUGCUCAAAUGAUGUUGUGAAAACGAUGACAUCAAGUAUGUUGCAAAAGUUUGAUAAGUAUUGGAGUGGGUGUCAUAUUGUGAUGGCAAUAGCAGCUAUAUCUGACCCAAGAUACAAGAUAAAGAUUUUAGAGUUUUACUUUCCACUAAUGUAUGGGUCUGAAGCUUCAAAUGAGAUAGAAAAAAUCUGUAGAAUGUGUUAUGAGUUGCUUUCUGAGUAUCAAUCAAAGUCUAAUUUGGGCAAAAAAACAUCAUCCUAUGGUACUUCAUCAGGUUCAACUCUUUUGAAGUUAAACUAUGAUGAAUAAGAUCCUCUUUCAAAGUUUGACUUAUUUGUUCAUAGUACCAUUGGAGAAAGUCAUAUGAAGUCGGAGUUAGAUUAUUACUUAGAGGAGUCUAUUCUGCCAAGGAAUUCAAAUUUUGAUGUUUUAAGUUGGUGGAAGACAAAUGGUAUAAAGUAUUCGACUUUGCAGAUGAUUGUUCGUGAUAUCUAUGCUAUUCCGGUAUCUACAGUUGCAUUUGAGUCAGCCUUUAGCAUGGGUGGUAAGGUGGUAUCAAAACAUCGCAGUAGGCUUCAUCUAGAUGCUUUGGAGGCCUUAAUGUGUGCUCAAAGUUGGUUAUGGAAGGAAAAAGAAGGUAACUGAGUUACAUAAUUAUCAAUUUUAUGAAUUGUUUUUUAUUAAAAUAUUUAGUAAAGUUUUCUAAUAUUUUUUUUGGUGUUUUUUUUUUACUAGGUGAUUCAUCAAUUCAUGACUCACAGCCCCAACUCACAAUGAUGGAUGAAAAUGAUGAUUUACUUGUGCUCUAGAUUUUUUACUUAAGAUGAUGUUAGAGACAUUUUUCUUUUUUUUUUUUUGCUAACAAUUUCUUUGUAAUGUCUUUUUUUUUUUCAAUGUUGUUAAGCUUAUGGAUAUAUUUUAAUUUUGGAUGUUACAUUUUGGCAUGUCUUAUAUGAUGUUAAUUACCAUGGUUGUAACUAAGAACCACAUUCUUUACAAUCAAGUUCAAGACUUGCAAGGUAAAGUCCUUGAUAGGAAAUGUGGGUACAGGAACAUAUGCUAAUUGAAGCCAACAAUGCCUUGAGAAGGAAGGUACAAAUUCUCAAAUGAACCUGGUCUUUUAUUUUAGAUUGACGUCCUGUGUUAUAGGAAGUGGGUCUAGUCAGCCUAGUCCAAAGGCCAUUAAUAGGCCUUCUAAGUCCAGCUUGGUUAAAGGGGAUUUAGGAAUUCUGAGCUAUUUUAUUUUUCUUCUUUUCUAUGAAGCCUUUUUGUAUCAUGUAUUUAUGUUGGUUUCUAAUUGCCUAAAACAGAGUUGGACUUGAUAUUCCAACCAUUAAAGUUCGGUUUGAGCAUAUAAUAGUGGAUGCAGAAGCAUAUAUAGGAGGCAGAGCACUACCUACAGUAUUCAAUUUCUCUGCUAAUAUGUUAGAGGUAAUUGAUUUUCAGAUUAUAUUAAUUUAUAUAUGUAUACCUUAUGCUCUAACCUUUUAAGUUGCAAACAAUCUCAUGCUAUGAUUUUUCAUUCAUCCACCUAUCAUUUUUUUCUCUUAUCAUGUCCAUAUAUUGCAUAUACUGUCAAUGCAUUGCAGAAAAAGAAGUAUAUUUUGUAUAUACUUAUGUUGUGACCACAUUUUUUGUCCACUUAUUCUUGUUGUUUCAAUUCCUUUUUCCAUAGUUCUGAAACUUGACUGAGAUGUGAUGAAGAUGUAUUUUACUUGCUAGUGUGGCUCGUUUCUUGGAAGCUCGAGGUAUGUUGGAGGAUACACUGGAAGUUGCCACGGAUCUUGACUAUAGAUUUGAUCUAGCUAUACAGCUAGGUAGACUAGGUACUGCAAAGGUAAGAAUUUUUAUUUAUCUUUAGUUAGGUGUAUAAACCUUCAAUUGGCAUUUAACACCUAUAUAAGUGAGUUUCUUCAUCAAAAUCAACUCUCAUGUUUACAAGGAAACCAUAAUUACAUGUUAUUAUGGUUUCCAUUAAUUGUCACUUUCAUCAUCAAAUUUGUUUAUGAAGAAGGCAUUCUCAUUGGUAAAUUCUGCACCAUAUGUUCAUUAAUUUGAGGUUCAAUACUAAUGCAGGUUUAUUGCGAGACAUGUCAACGUUUCUUAGCUGAUCGGCUUGUGGAAAGCACCUGCCCAACACUAGAUUGUAAUUACGACUCUGCUCGUGGGGAUCAGUGCGAAAAGUGUGGAAAACUAUUGAAUCCAACUGAACUAAAAGAUCUUAGAUGCAAGGUGUGACCAUCUUUUUCAUUUCAUUGAAAAUUUUCAUUUGCCUACUGGGUUAAAAAACAUCUAGUUGGUUUUCAAAUUUUCUGUCUCACUUGAAAGAUUGUAUGAUCAAUAGGUAUGCCAGUCCACUCCACAAAUCCGUGAUACAGACCACUUGUUUCGCGAGCUCCCAUUGCUAAAGGAUAAAUUGGAAGAAUAUAUCAAUAACAUGUCCAUUGCAGGAUGCUGGAGCCAAAAUGCUAUCCAAGCUACAUAUGCAUGGAUUAAAGAAGGAGUUAGAUCCCGCUGUAUUACCAGGGAUCUCAAGUGGGGGGUUCCUGUUCCACAUGAAAAAUAUAAAGACAAGGUUGGACAAGAUUUUAUUUCAUUUGAUUUAAUUUGUAGAAUUGACCCCUUCUUUUUCUAUAGAGAAAUUUCUUGUUCUAUAUGGUUUUUGCAAAUAAUGUUCGAAACAAUUUAUACUACUCUGAUCACAGGUUUUCUAUGUCUGGUUUGAUGCACCAAUUGGUUAUGUCUCAAUCACUGCAUGUUAUACACCUGAGUGGGAAAAGUGGUGGAAGAACCCUGAAAAUGUGGAUCUGUACCAGUUUAUGGGCAAGGAUAAUGUGUCAUUCCACACUGUAAGAGUUCAUCUCCUAUGCUUGAAUAAACAGUUCAUUAUUUCUUUUUAUUGUAACUGGAGUUGGAUUUAGUUCCUACACAUGAUCCUUUGCUUGAUUUUUUAAUUCCAGGUGAUGUUCCCAUCUACACUUAUUGGAACUGGAGAAAACUGGACAUUGAUGAAGAGCAUUAGUGUUACAAAAUACUUAAACUAUGAAGCAAGUACUCGGUACUCGUUAGCAGUUUGAAAUGGUUCUCAUCUAUAUAAAAUUGCCCAACAGUCUUUCCUCAAUUUUGAUCCCUGCCAGAAAUUCUCCGUGUCAUGAUAACAUGUUCCUUUGGUUUUUCUGAUUUGUCUUUCCUUUGUAUGAUGCUGCAACCAAUCUGUCUAUAUCCUUCUUCUCAACAUUUCCAAAUGUCGUCAAGUAAAUUUGAUGAACCUUAGAAUAGGGAGAUGACUAAGGCUCAUCUAUUACAUCUAGAGAUACAUAGCCAAGUCCCCGUUUGGAUUAAAGAAUUCCAUGACUAUGUCUCAUCUAUCACACCUACAGAUACAUUGUCAAGUCCCUCUUUGGACAAAAGAAUUUGAUGCAUGCACUAUGUAGGGAUAAGACUUUGUGGAACCUGGUGCUUUAUCUCUUAAAUUUUGACUUUUUGAGGUUUAAUUGAAAUGUUUUCUCAGGUUGCAAACCUGCCAAUUAGGAACAGCUAGAAAUGUUCUAUUUUUGAGAAAUUUGCCUUUCUUUUUAUAAAAUAGAACUCUUCGACAACCCUCAUUUACUAGUUCUGCCACUUUUACAUUUCAGCAACCCUCAUUUCAGUCAUAAUUAUGCUAUAGACAUAUGACUUGACAAACCACUCUCUACAGCUGACUAAUGCAUCAGAGAUUUUGUUAAUGAAAAUUUUAUUUGUCUUUGAAACAGAAGCUUUAAAAACUCUUAUCUAUAUAUGAUACCUUUUGCAGAUACACUUUAUCGAUCAAAUUUCUUUCUUGGACUCGGAUGGAUGCUGUCUAAAUCUAUAUGGGAUGAGCUAUCACCAAAGUGGCAAAAAACAUAUACUUUUUGGUCUAAAUUAUUUUUUUGUGCAUCUAAUAAAAAAUAGUUUUAAUUAGUCCUACAAAUUUUCUUUGACAAAACUUCACUUAUUGGGAUGAUUGGUUGAGGUUAAAAGAGAAUCACAAAGGUCGGUAGUUUAUUCGUUCAGAAGUAUGCAGAACAUAUAAUUUUGGUGAGCAUGUACGUGUAUCUAUCUGAUCAGUAUAAUUCUUGUUUAGAAACCAACUGUGCAGCUGUAAAUGGUUUGCCUCCUUUGUGUAUCAUUGUGUCAUAUUUGUGUGUAUCUGUUCGUGUCUUUCUACAAUUGAUCAACCAAUAUGGCAUUUGCAGCACUACCUCAUCUUUAAAUAUGGUAUUUUGAUGUCUUAGUUUAUUUCCACUUUUUUAUUUUUUUUAUUUUUUUAGUUUUGAUCAGAUCUUGUAUUUUUGGAAGGAUUUCUUGCCCUUCUUUUUAUAAAAUAGAACUCUUCGGUGUUUUUAAUGUGAAUUAGGUUAAACUAAAUCAAGGACUGAAAAUUGGAAUGAGCAUCUCUAGUGAGGGGAAUGGGUAUGUGCAAGUAAGCCUGUAAAACCCUUUAUGUGGUUUUAUUAACUGUUUUAGUUAUGUUUGUCAUAUUUCAUGCUUAUCAGAAAGAAAAAGUUUCUUGAUUAAGAUGAUUAUUUGAAUACUGAAUUUUCCAUAGGAAAGCCAAUUCUGCAAUUGUGUUAAUAUUAUUAUCUGGUGUUUGUGGAGAGAUUGGGUAUGUCAUUUCUUUUAAUAUAAAUGAUCUCUUCUCAUUGCAUUUAUUCUGUCAAGAUCAUUAGAUGGAACAUUGGCCUUUCAAGCAAUUCAUAAUGCAGGGUUAUCGGUUAUCUUAGUGCUAAUGAAUGCUAGACUAGAUGAUUCUACCGGUUAUUAGCAAAAAAUAACACCCUUAUGCUUAAUUUUUUUGGUUUUCCUUGAGGAAAUUCUACAAGAAGAGAUGCUUGUUCUGUUAUUUAAAUUGAUCAGAAUGUAAAUCACAAAAAAGUAAAACACUCAUCGUGUAUUAGGAAAUAACGUCAACCAACUUUGCAAUGUGUUGGUGCCCAUUUUAACUAUGUAGGUCUUUUUUUUUUUUUUUUUGCUUUUUGUGUUAAUAUAUCAUUUUUUUGUGUGUCUGCAUGUGCUAACAUGCUUGAUUAUCCAUUAAUUGUAGGAGUAGGGACAUCAACAUAUAUAGUUUACUAAAAAGCAUGUUUCUUUCGAAAUUGAUUAUUGACAGGUACUAGGUUUUCGCAUAUGCAGAAAUUGGCGGACUGCAUAGGUUUGCCUUGCCGGAUAGCUCAAGGUUGCAAGUAUUGUGUUGCUAAUCAUCGCUCUUCUUGUCUUGUGAAAAUUGAUGACAUGCAGUCCUCAAGGUUUGAUUCUUUUGACUGUUCUUGUAGGUUUUAUUUAUUUUUUUUAGAAAAUUUGUUUUGCUACCAAACACACAUUUUCUAAGAAACCAAAUAGACCACUACAGUUUUGUUUUUCUUCUAGAAUGCUAGAGGAUUUUCCAUUAUUUGUCAUAAGUUGAUUGACAUGGAUGACAAAUUUUCCUGUUUUCCAUGCCCUUUAUAAAAUAGAACUCUUUGGUGUUUUUAAUGUGAAUUAGGUUAAACUAAACCAGGAAAUGUCCAUGGUCUAGAUUCCUCAAUCAAUGGAGGUUUACUUUCAUCAAUGCCUUCACCACUUCAAAUUUCCCAUCUUAAAGAAUAUCAACAACCUUACAUGGAUAAUGAAUCAUGUUGUCAAAUUCAAAACUCAAAUAACACAUGUAUUUAUCCCGAAUAUCCUCUAUAUUUAGGUAUGUUAUGUUUUGCACACCUUGAAAUUUGUUGUUCAAGUGGCUCAAUUCAUUAUUCUGGUGUGGGCUUUCUUUGCUAUAACAUUGCAAUAUGGGAGGAUGUCAUAUAUUUAUUCGUUAGCUUUUAGGAUUUUGGUUAUCCAUAAAUAGUGCGAGAUGGCUUACUAUGCAUUUUGAUGUUAAUUUUCGCACAACAAUUUUCCCCCCAUUGUGAUAGAUUUGAUGAUUGCAAUUCUUGGUGCAUUGUAUCUUCAUUCCUAACAAUGUAUCUCAUUGUUAGUAUUAUGAUCUUCAUGAGAAUUUUCAUUAAAUUUUUAACAGAGUGAAGAAUUGAAGUCCAUCUUCAUUCUGUGAUGCACUCCACUCACCAAAUUAUAUUGGGUCUUAGCAUUAGCAUUAUUCUUUGAAAAGUUGAAUGAUCGCAGCACAGGCUUUUUAAUCUUAAAUAUAUUGGAACAUGUUCCUUGGGCAUUUUUGAAAUCAAUUUUUACUUAUGUUUGAUUUCAUGCUCUGUUUAUUGCCUAGAGAUAUAAUCAGAAAAUAAAAUUGGGAAUAACAAAAAGGCUGAAUCACAAAAAGGCUACUGUAAACCCAUCCUGCUAUAAGUUUCCAAGAUUUCAUCUCUUUUCCUAUGUUUUCUAAGCUAUCAAACAAGGCAUAGUUAUUGUUUUUUUAGGAAAUUAUGAUGCCAAACUAUAGGUUUCUUACUGACACUUUAUCUUAUACUUCUGUCACAAUCCUUUUCUCUGAUGCCAUAUGCAAAAUUAUGCAGCUGCCCAAUGCCCAUACUGCUAUGUCUAUGCAGGCUAAAGAAGAAUGAUAUAUGUUGUUACUUGCAUGUGCCUAGACUUGCAAAUAAUCCUCUCAUAGUGCUUGCAAUCAAAAUUGCUUGUUACUGUAGGUUCUUUUUGGAUGGCAGUGUGGUUAUGUUGGUUCCUUGUGAUGUUCUUUUAUUGUCCAAGGGUGGUUGAAUUUUUUUGGUUGCCCCUUUUUGGCUCUAGGUUAUUCUUAUGGUUGUAUGAAGCUUUUCACUGUAAGCUGAAAUAUGAUCCUAAUUGUGACAUGUCCCCCCAAUUCAAAUGUGCUUCAAGUAAAUUAAAACUUUAAAGGAUCAUCUCUUGUAGGCAAUGAGAAAAACACCUUGUACACUCCAAUUGAUCAAAUUUGUGAAAGAAUGGAAUCAUUUGUGUUGCCUUUGGAGUUCAAUGGGAACACUGAUCGGUGCAUAAUUCAAAGUGCAAUGUUGCAAUCUGUCCAAAGCAAUGUUUUUGAAGCUGUGGAUGCUUUUUCUUUUGGGGUGUCUAUACAUGAAUGUUUUAGAAUUGCUGGAGAAAAGAUUGUUAUAUAACAAGCUCACGAAAAAAAGAUUGCUCUAUCUGGAAGUCCGAUUAUGAGUACGAGGAAUAUUUAUCCACACUACUAGAAUCAAGAGCUCUUCUUGAAAUUUAUUUUUCACUGUUAAUCUGAUUGAACAUUGUCUGGUUCAGUUAUGGCCAUAUCUCUCAUGUCUCAGAUCUGUGGACUUUAACUUUCCUUUUCUAAAAACUUUUAAUUUUUUUCGCAGUAUGCUAUGCUGUUUGAGGAAAGCCAAGAUUGCAGCUGGGCACCCUUGGACGAACUGUGGUGUGCACUAUCCACCAGCCAAGCAUUGAUAUAUUUGAUGCUUUUGAUGAGGUAAGAUAUCUUUCUAGUGGUUGUGGAACCAAUAACUAGUUUUCAUUUCUUGGAUUUAUACAAGGUUUUAAGUAUUUCAAUGUCAAACUGUAGCUAUUUAUUUUGAAACGAGGAGGAGAGGAAAUAUAUGCAGGCCCAUUAGAACACCAUUAUGCACAUCUGAUUAAGUACUUUGAGGUAAAGUCAAUAAACACAAGAGAUUCUAGGUAUUCACCAUAUUUGCCUCUUGUUACUGGAAUAAGCCAUGUAUUAUUAUGUUUCUUGAAGGGAAUUGAUGGAGUCAGUAAGAUAAAAGAUGGUUACAAUCCGGCAACUUGGAUGUUGGAAGUGACUUCAGCAGCACAAAAAGCAGCUCUAGGCAUUAACUUCACCGAUGCGUACAAGAACUCUGAACUAUAUAGGUAGGAGUGUAGGACCACAUCAAUGUUUGAGAAACAGGCUAAGGUGGAUGCCAUACUUCUAAAUUUCUAUAUUAUUCAUUGAACUUGCUUCUAGAAAUAAUCUGGAUUUGAAUAGCUUAUAAUGGGCAUUUGGUUUUUUGUUCAUCAUCAUCAAGCCUUUUAUUGGCAAUUUACUUGCUUUAGAGAUUUUUAUUGUUAUUGGGUUGUUCAUUGCCUUUGUAGUGGGUGAAUUCAUAUCAUGGAGGACAUUGGUGUUAACGGGUAUCUUCAAAUGCUCUACAAUUGUUCUUGUUAAAGAAAGAUAUUUUACAACUAUUUAGUUUCAUCAAUAACCCCAGCCCCACCCUGGGUUUAAGACGGGAUGGGAAAUAACUAAAUAUUUUGGGAUGGGAAUGGGAUAGGGGUGACCCGUCCCAAACCUGCCCGUUACCAUUCCUAGUUUUGUCACACUGAAUCAAAUUGCAUGCAUUCCUUGAGCUUUCUCCAUCUCUUCAGCUUCACUCAUAUUCACUAUUGAUUCUGUUUUUCAUUUUGUUGGUGACCGUCUCCCUGCUUGGGGCAAAUACCAUGCUCCUUCCAUUUCUUCUGCUAUCUUGUUUUAGUUUGUUCUUGCUUCUGCUUUCAGUUGUUUCUAUUUUUUCCUCAUUCCCCUUUGUUUUCCCAACAAAACCACCAAAAUAUAUCCAACUAAGAUGAAAUGACAGACAACAUUAUUACCGUUGCUGUAAAAGUUUCAGAGUACUUGGUUGCUCCAAUUGGAAACCAACUUAGUUAUCUAUUUUGCUAUCGCAGCCACAUGGAUGAACUUGACAAGAAGAUUCAGGAAUUGGGGCGUGUGAGGGGUGACCUUCAGAUAACUAUUGAUGCAGCUAUUAGAAGUGGGGAUGAAAUCAAACCUAUUGUUCAAGACUGGCUGACUGGGGCAGAUGGGAUUACAGGGUAGGCAGAGGAAUUAAUGAAAGAUGAAAAUAAGAGCUGUCUUAAUGGCUGGUGUCUUAAUCUCAAGUCACAUUACCUGCUAAGUAGAGAAACGGACAAAAAGGUGCAAGUUAUUGUUCAAAUCCAAAAAGACCAUAAUUUCCCCGAUGGCGUAUCAUAUAGUGCCCCUCCACCGAAUAAACAGUAAAAAAUACAGAGUUUGUGGGGAGAGGACUCCAAUGGUUUUCUCUAUUACUGGCAGGGCAUAAAUAGCCACUGUAUAAAGCUUUAGAUUCGAUAGUUUAGGAUUGAUUGACUAAUAAGGAAAUUAUAACAAUAAGGAAACUAUAGUUGUUGAGAAACAAUAUGUAUUUGCAGGAAUUCUAGUUAUUCUAGUCUAUCUGUACAGCUAUUCGUAGAGAAAAAUUAGGGACUAGAAUGUUGGAGAACCAACUUGGAGAUAAUUACUCAUGAUUUUCAACACUCCUCCUCUAGUUUGUUGUGACAACCAUUAAAUGUUUGGUUUGACACUGCCUUGGUCAGCACAUCAGCAAGCUGGUAUUGAGAUCAAACAUGAGGAACUUCAAUCAAUUUUGCUUCCAAUUUCUCCUUGAUAAAAUGUCUAUCAACCUCAACAUGUUUGGUUCGAUCCUAUUGGACAAGAUUAUGGGCAAUAUCACACGUUGCCUUGUUAUCACAAUAUAACUUCAUAGGGCUGACUUGCUUAAUAUGUAAAUCUUGCAUUAGAUUUCUGAUCCACAACAAUUCACAUAUUGCCUUAGUCAUUCCUCUAUAUUCGGCUUCAGCACUAGAUCUAGCAACUAGCUCCUGAUUUUUACUUCGCCAAGUAACCAAAUUUCCUCCUACAAACGUAAAAUAGCCAGAUGCAGAACGUCUAUCUUGAAUUGACCCAACCCAAUUAGCAUCUGUAUAGCCAUUAAUAUCCAAAUUGUCUCAUUUUGUGAAUAAAAUUCCCUAUCCUGGAUAUGACUUCAAGUAGUGUAAGAUACGAAUGACAACAUUCAUAUGUUCUUCACUUGGGGAGUGCAUGAAUUAACUAACCACACUCAACGCAUAAGCUAAAUUAGGCCGAGUAUGUGCAAGAUACAUUAAUCUUCCAACCAGUCUCUGAUAGUGUUCCUUGUUAGCAGGAACUUGAUUUGAAUGCACACAUAGUUUCAUAUUUUCUUCCAUAUGAGUGUUUGUUGGACUACAUGUUGUCAUACUAGUUUCAUUAAGUAAAUCUAAGGCACAUUUUCUUUGUGACAGAAAAAUACCUUUCUUCGAUCUUGACACUUCAAUUAUGAGGAAAUACUUCAAUUCACUGAGGUCUUUCAUCUCAAACUCACGGGCAAGAUGCUCCUAUAGUGUUUUCCUUUCUUCAGAAUCAUUUCCAGUCACUAUCAUAUCAUCAACAUACAUAAUAAGAGUUGUGAUUUGUUUUUUAUUAUGCUUCAAGAAUAGAGUGUGAUCUGAGUUACUUUGCUUGUAACCAAUAGACUUCAUAAAACUUGUGAACCUUCCAAACCACGCUCUAGGAGACUGCUUCAGACCAUAUAAGGAUUUUCUCAACCUACAGACUUGUUUGUUACCUUCAAUUUGCCAAUUAUAGUUAGGGGGCAACUCCAUAUACACUUCUUCUUGGAGAUUUCCAUGCAGAAAUGCAUUCUUUACAUCAAACUAGUGUAAAGGCUAGUCAAGAUUCAUUGUCAGAGAUAAUAGAAUACGAACAGUAUUAAUUUUGGCCAUUGGUGCGAAUGUCUCCAUAUAAUCAAUUCCAUAUGUUUGAGUAUAUCCCUUGGCUACAAGUCUUGCUUUGCAUCGUUCAAUAGUUCCAUCGACUUUGUAUUUUAUGGUGAAGACCCACCUACAUCCAACAGGUAUCUUCCCUUCAAGCAAGUUAACAACUUCCCACAUUAAGUUCUUUUGAAGGGCCUUCAUUUCUUCAUUCAUUGUCUUCCUCCAUCUGGGAUCUUUCAAGGCUUCCUGCACACUGUUAAGAAUAGAUAUAACAGAUAAUUGAUUCACAAACACCAUACUUUCCUUUGACAAUCUAUGGUAAGAUACAUAGUUAUUUAUUGGAUAUUUAGAUUUAGAGUUGAUGUCAGGUUCAUAGCUAACUUUGGGCUUCCCUUUUGUGACUCGAUUGGGUAACACUUUUAGGUGAGGUUCAGAUUCAAAAUUUUCAUAAGACUCAAGCAUGGAAUCGGCUGGAGAAGACAAUUGGUUAGCCGGUACAUCAUGAGGGACUAACGACACUUCCAUUUGAUUCUAAACUUCCAUUUGACCUUGAUUCUCAUCAUCAAAAAAUUCUGGACCAUCACCUGGACACUCCUCAUUAUCCAUGGUGUUAUCAUCACUUGGACAUUCACCACUAGUUUCCAAGUUAUCACCUCUUAUAAAAUCCAAGUUGUCCAAAGGAUGAUGUAAAGUUUGCACUUCAUCUCUAUUCUCCCCCUGAAGUGAAGACUCAGAAUAAUACAUAUCAUUUUCAUGAAAUACCACAUCAAAGGUAACACAAAGCUUUCGAGAAGAGGGGUGAUAACACCAAUAGGCUUUUUGAUGCAAGGCAUAGCCAACAAAUACACAUCAAAGUGCUCGGGGUUCCAACUUAGUUCUCAAGCCUUUGUGAAGAUGCACAAAGGCUACACAUCCAAAAACUUUAGAGGACAGAUUCGGUAUGGUAGGGGCACUUAUAGUAUGAUGAAGGAUAUCAAAGGAAGUAUAAAAUUAUAGGGAACUAUAAGGUAUUCGGUUGAUGAGGUAGGCUGCAGUAGUGAUGGCUUCACCCUAAUAACCGGUGGGCAUGUGAGCUCUAAACAUCAGAGUGAAUAACCAUAAAAGGUACAUGACUUUUAUUCAUACUAAUGUGGCUAUACAUACAUUUUCACAAAUAAAUUGUAUGAAACACGAUGGCUUUUAACCGGUUCACAAAUGUCACACUUAUAAUCUGAAAUAGUCGAUUAUGAAAAAAGUUGUGCAAACAAUUUCUGUAAAUAUCCAAAAGAUGCAUGGCUUAAAUGCCUAUGCCAUAACCAAAUUUAUGAACUUUGAAGUUUAUCAGUUGUAUUAGCUGAAAAAACUUAAGCCAAUUGAUUUGAGCUUGCCAGCAUUAGAUCCAGAUAGUAAAGCUUUCCUCUCCUAACACCAUAACCAGUUGUCUUCUGAGUUUGAGUGUCCUUAAAGACACAAAGGUUAGGCCAAAAAAUCACAACACAAUUUAAAGCAAGGGUUAUUUGAGCAAUAGACAAUAAGUUAUGAUUAAGGGAAAGAACAACCAAAACAGAAUCUAAAUUCAAUUUUUUUGUAAGAGAAAUUGAAACUUCUCCUAACACGGGAGAUGGGGUACCAUUGGUUGUGGACACUAUACGUUGGUCUGAGGAUUUAUGAAUUGAAUAUGAUUAUUGUUAAAGGUCAUGUGAUUUGUGGCACUUGAAUCAAUUAUCCAUUCAUUAUGACUAACGGGAGUAGAGGUAUGAAGAUCCUUACCCACAUUCCUAGAAGUAGCAAUGAAAGAUGAGGCUUUCUUAGGAUUGCUGGUGGAAACAUGAUUAGGCUCGAUCACAACAACAAAAGCAUGAUAGUUUGUCUUUGAAUUUCAUUUGCAAGGUGCCUUGGCAAAAUCCCACAAUUUUGGAUAUCCAAUCAAUUCAUAACACCAUGACUGAGUGUGUUCGAUUUCACCAUGGUGAGUACACAUACGUUCUAGUCAUGCAACUCUUAUUUUGUAUAUGCGAUUUUGUGAUCUAAACAAUUGAUUAUGAUCAUGAUUCAAUAUACCAGAUGUUCGAUCUGGUUUCGGGAUUGUUUGUGGUUGCUAAUACUUAACUCGGUGAGCUACCAUAGCAGAUAGCUCUGAAUGUUUAGGUUCGCCAUUCAGUGUAGCUCAACAAACAGAAUCAUGAUGAACAUACGCAUAAGUUUCUUCAAGAUCCAAUAUAGGAUCCCUACUGAAAAUCUCACCUCAAAUUUGUUCAAAUUCUGCAUCUAGUCCAUUCAAAAAAAUAUGCAUCUGUAGUCUCUCAACUGAUUUUUUAUAGGCAAUGACAUCAUUGAAAUCAUUCAUGACAAUUUUAUCAUGAUGAUCUAGCUCUUGAAAAAUUUCUAUCAAAUCACCAUAAUAAGUGGAAAGAGAACGACCGACCUGUUUGGUGGAGAAUGCUCGUUGAUUCAGUGCAAAGAGUUGCAAUUCAUCAGCCUCAUCAUAGAAUGCUUUAGCAAGAGCAAUCCAGAUUUCAUGUGCAAUAUGCAAUCUAAGAUUACGUUUCAUAAUCUCCGGUGACAUAGAAGUCAACAACCAUCCUUUGACCAUUUGAUUCUCAGCAUACCACUUCGCAUAGGAAGUAUUAGUAACCUUCAGAGAUGUUUUACUCGUACGAUAUUCAAGCUUCUCGCAUCCUGCAAUAUGCAUUUCCAUGAUUUGAGACCAGACAUCAUAAUUGGUUUCGAUAAGGAUGACAUUAGUUGUGAAACUGGGGUUUUCUGAUUGAACAUGGAUAAUUGGUACAGAGGAUGAUUCGAGUUUGUCAUUAGUCAUGGUGCGAGGGGUAUAUAAGAAUUCAGGCUGUGAUGACAUAGAGUGGAUAAUGAAAAGGUGAAUCUCAAUAAUGGACUACACCUAGAGGGGGGAUGAAUAGGUGUUGUAUAACAAUUUAAAAAUUCUCCCAACAAAGAUUACCUAACCUUAGACUUUCUUAAUGUCAAGAAACUUCUCUUCCAACAACUUUUCAACAAAUCAUAACAUUCACAAGCAAGAAUGUAUGCACCAACACCCUUCCAACAAUUUAUAAAUGCAAUACACAUGCAAAUGUUUCAACAAUCCUAAAAAAUAAAUCAGAAGAACAAUUAUCUCCUCAACUCAUAUGAAUUUACUACAUGAUAUCAUCAUUAACCAAAAUGAGCAAAAAAAUUAUUAAGGAUAUUCCAUGGAUCAUCACAUUUAUAUCACCUCAUAUUUCUUCCAUUCAACAUAUAUGCCCAAGUAAUCAAUGAUAUCAAAAACAGAAAAUAAAUCAAAGUGUAGAGUGAGAGAAAGAGACAAUUAACACUGGAUUUUAACAUGGAAAACCUCUUAAGAGAUCAAAAACCAUGUGCCUACGAACAAUAAAAAACAUCCACUAUGAAGAAUAAAAACUUAAUACAAGGUUUCACUUUCAGCUUCUCACCUUCUUCUAGACCACACUUGAAGUCCACAUCAAGCUCGAUCUUGGCCUCUUCUUGAAUCCACACAAGAAGAAAAUGGGUUUGCACCCAAACCUAAAUAGAAUGAGAGAUUGAGAUAUAAAUGAAUCAAUCAAUCAAUCCAUUUAUUGCUCAAGAAAAUCCAUUAAAAACUAGUUUGGAAAACAUUAAGAGAAUUGGAUUUUCUUGCAACCAAAAAACCCCAAAUUAGGAAAAGAGAUGAGGAAAUGAAGAACACACGGAGUGAUUGCAACUAUCUCCACAGUUGUUGCAGUCUCUCACCUUCUAAAAAUGGGAGAAAGUUUGAUUUUAAAUGAUUAUGAAGCCCUUAAUCCAAGAGCUGGAAAUUGAUCUUAGAAUCAGGUUAGUUGGAUCGAUUUGCCCCUAUACCUGGAUCGAUCCAAAAACGGGGGAAUAAAAGUCUUGCACCAAAAACCAUUUCUCUCGGUUUUCUUAACUCAUUUAAAGAUGAAAAACAGGGUCGAUUCACAUUCAAUCACCACACACUCAACUACAUACCUCGACCUCUUAGCAAAGUCUUACUCUUCAAAGUCAAGUAAUCCGAAGAAGGAUCGGUAAACCGAGUUAUGGGACACUUAGGAAUUUUGUCCAGAAUUACCAACCUAGCUAAACACUCAUAAAUAAUAAUACCCGCUCUAAUACCAAGUCAAAAAUACAGAGUUUGUGAGGAGAAGACUCCAAUAGUUUUCUCUAUUACUGGCUGUGCAUAAAUAGCCACUAUAUAAAGCUUUAGAUCCUAUAGUUUAGGACUGAUUGACUAACAAUAAGGAAACUAUAGUUGUUAAGAUACAAUCACAUAUUUACAGGAAUUCUUGUUAUUCUAGUUUAUCUGUACAGCUAGCAGUAGAGAAAAAUAAGGGGCUUGAAUGUUGGAGAACCAACUUGGAGAUAAUUACUCAUGAUUGUCAAUAUGAACGUUUUACAGAUUAUGAACCUUUUGGAUCUAGAGCAUCGCUUUUGAAUGAAAUAAUGAAUGCAUUCAGAAAUGCUGAGAUGUAUAUGACUGGAGUAUGGGGGAUGGGCGGCGUGGGCAAAACCACACUGAUGAAACAAGUGGCAGAACAAGCUAAGCAAAAGAAGUUGUUCACAACAGAAGUCUACAUAGAUGUAUCCUGGACUCGAGACUCCGACAAACUUGAACAAGGAAUUGCUAAAAUUCAACAACAAAUUGCAGACAUGUUAGGCUUGGAAUUUAAGAGGAAGGAUGAAUCCACAAGAGCACUUGAGCUAAAGACGAGACUGAAGGAAGUGAAGACCCUUAUUAUCUUAGACGACAUUUGGGAGGAAGUUGGUUUGAAGGAAGUCGGAAUUCCUUGUAAAGAUGAUAAGACGGAAUGAAAAGUAGUGUUGACAUCUAGAGAUCUACACAUUAAAUAACUACAUGGACGUAGAAAAAUGUUUUCGAAUUCAACAAUUAACAGAAGAAGAAGCUUGGAGUUUAUUUAACAAGACAGCAGGUGGUUCCUUGGAGAAGAAUCUUGAAUUGCGCCCCAUAGCAAUGAAAAUAGUUGAAGAAUGUGGGGGUCUACCAAUUGCGAUUAUAACAAUUGCAAAGGCAUUAAAAGGUGGGAGGCUGGCUGUAUGGAAGAAUGCCUUGGAAGAAUUGAGAGCAUCUUCACCAACAAACAUCAAAGGAGUGAGUAAAAACGUGUACUCAUGUCUGGAGUGGAGCUACAAACGUUUGAUAAGUGUUGAGGUCAAGUCAUUGUUCUUACUAUGUGGUUUGCUGGGCGAUGGCGAUAUUUCAUUGGAUGACUUGUUGAAAUAUGGCAUGGGUUUGGAUUUGUUUGAUAACAUCGAUUCAUUGGAGCAAGCAAGAGAUAGAGUAGUUGCCCUGGUGAAAAUCCUUAAAGCCUCAAGCCAGUUGCUUGACGCACUUGCAGAUGGACCCUAUUAUAAAAAAAAAUAUUGUUUUAGUAUAUGUUAGAAAUAUAAGAAUAUUAAGAUCUUCCUAUAUUUUUUUUGGUUAAAAAUGAAUAAUAAUAAUUUCAAAUAACAAUAUUUUAUUAAAAAUAAAUAAUGAAUGAAGUUUAACUUUUUAACUUGUAAAUGAGUCAAGUUUUUCACUUCAUGUGCACAUUUAGUACUAAAUUACAAUAUAAUAUUCUAAAAUAUUUUGAUUUAAUCUAUAAUUAAUUAUAUAUGUUUUUUCAAUUCAAAAUUAUUUUUAAAAUUAAAAAAUUUAUUAAAGAAUUUAAAUGAUUAAUUAUAUCUUACUUAAUUUAUAAUUUAUUUACUUAAAUUCAAAAAAUAUAUUUGUAGGAGAAACAAUAAAGUCAUAACUCAUAAUAUAUCAAUUUUAAUCUUCUUUUUUUUUUUUUAAUAAUUAGAUCUAUUUUUUGAGUUCCAAAUUAUUUGUAAAAAUCAUUAAAUUCAUUAAUAAAUUCAAUACAAAGUGUCAUUUGAUUUGAAGUUUAUUUUUAUAGUAAGAAAAUUUAUAAAAAUAUAACUAUGUACAAAAAAAAAAAUCAUAGAGGUAUUAUAAAUCAAUUUGUAUCCAUAAAUUUUUAGUGUUAAUGAGUUUAUUGUUUGAAUUUCAAACUAUUUUUAAAAAUUAAUAAGCUUUUUAAUGAAUUCAACACAUUAAGUUUUGUUUAAUUUAGAACCUAUCUAUUUGGUUUUUAAAAAAUAGAAAAUAAUGAUGUUAUACCAAAGAAAAAUAAUAGAAUUAUACCAAUUUUUGUCUAUAAAUUUAUGGUAUCAAAUGGAUUAUUAUUUGAGUUUUAAAUUAUUUUUAAAAAUUAUUAGACUUGUUAAUAAAUCCAAUCACAUUAAGUUUUAUUUAAUUUGAAAUUCAUUUGCCUAGUAAAAAAAAUUGGAAAAUAAUGAUUCUAUGUAAAAGAUAAACAAUUAAUAAAGUCUUUCUCGACCAACUUUUGUUUAUAAAUUUUUGGUAGUAAUUGGUUCACUAUUUUAGUUUUAAAUUACUUUUAAAAAAUACUAUAUUUGUUAAUGAAUCUGACACAUUGAGUUUUGUCUAAUUUGGAGUUCAUUGCCGAAUGAAAAAAAAUAAAAAAAAAUAAUGAUUUUAUGUAAAAAUGACAUAAUAAAAUCAUUCUGGACCAAUUUUUUUGUUUAUAAAUUUCUAAUAUUAAUUGGUUCACUAUUUAAGUUUUAAAUUAUAUUUAAAAAUUAUUAAACUUAUUAAGGAAUCUAACACGUUAAGUUUUGAUUAAUUUGAAGUUCAUUUUUCUAGUAAAAAAAAAAUUAGAAAAUAAUUAUUCUAUAUAGAAGAGAAACAAUAAAGUCAUUUUAAACCAAAACAUUAAGUUUUGUCUAAUUUGGAGUUCAUUUUCCUAAUAAAAAAAUUUGUAAAAAUAUUAUAUAUAUAAGAAACAAACCCAAACAUCUAAAAUAAAUUGUGGUACGUGGCUUACUAAUUUUAUUAGUUCCAUGACUUUUUAGUAUUAAUUAGAUGGGUUUUUUAGUUUAAAAUUAAUAAAUUUUAUGUAUCAAGUAUAGUUUGAUUUGAAAUUUAUUUCCUUAAUAUAAAAUUUUCAAUCAUGUUAAAAAAAAUUAAAAAGUAAAUAUAAUUUCAAGGAAUAUCACAUCGGUAUUAAAUCGUGGAGAGAAAGAAAAAUGAUAUCAUGUUUAAUUUUAUUUGUUUUUCUUAUGAUUUUUUAAAAAAAUUCUACGUUUUCCUUUUACUUUUCAAAACUAGUAAAAACAAUUUUUAUUUGUUCUCUAAAAAUUAUUCUCUAUUUCACUUUGUUUUUAAAAAACUAUUUCCAAAAAACAAUAGCCAAACAGUCUUAAAAGCUUUUAAAAAAUAGUUUUUUAUUUGUAAAAAUGAAAAACUGUUUUUAAAUCAUAUAAUCAAACUGGCUCCUAUAUUAUGGAAUUUAGGAAUUCCAAACUUAUUAUAUAUUAAUGGUUGAAGUAAAGUGGGUAGAAGAUCAAUUCAUCUUACCUGUUACAAAGGUAUGAAUUUUUUAUUUUUUAUUUUCUUAAAAGGAAGUCUGGCUUUGUUAAAAAUUACAACUGGUUAUCUAAAUAUUGUACACAAAAACAUAGUUAUUGAAGAAUAAAAUGCGCUAGCUUGUUGAUCCUUCAUGGAAAACACUUCACAUGCUAACCCAUAUCCACUGGGAUGCAAGAAUAAAACGGUGACAUGUUCAAGGGAAAAUUGGCAUGAAAUACAUCAUUGGCUUGUUACCUAAAAAUAUAAGCUUAAAGGUCAAUUGGCAUGCAUGAUACACACUGAUGAAACUCUCAAUAUUUGUAAUCAAAUCAGUGCAUUCCAAUGCUAUCAAUUGUUAUUACAUUCUUGAAAACAGAUUGUACCCAGUAUAGACUAAGUAAUCUAACCUUUUCCCUUUGGGAUAUGUCAAUCAUCUGUGGUUCCUAUAGACAGCAUGUAUAUUGUCAACCUAGUUUCGGUAUUUACAAUGCCUUGGAACUCUGGAGUGGUGAAUGGGAGACAACCCUUACUAAAUGGUGGCAUGGGAAGCAGAUGUUUGAGCUAUGUUGACUGCAUUGGGUUUAAUAUCUCUGCUUCUCAUGUAAGUCAGGAACUGGCCAGGUAGCUCUUCUAAUAGAGCUUGGACUACGGAAGUUUGCCCACCUGCUUCAAGAUUUAAGAUAAGAAAUUACUCUUUAAGGAAAACCACUUUCUAAUCGAUUUGCCAAGAAAAAGUACAUCUUUCUUGUCUAAGGGAUAUAAAAGGGAAAUAAAUAUUUCAAAUUUAUAGACCCAUUCAUCUUUCUAGUCUAUGGUAUGUACAAAAACAAGUUAUAUGCAAACUGCUCAAACUCUGGAGUUUACAACCUAUUCAAGUACGUCUAUUAGCCUCUAACAGGAUGAUGUGAGAUUGAAGUUUGAGCUGAAAACUCAAGUUUUCCAAAACCUAUGCUGGACAAGCUAAUGAAAAAUAUGUACUCACCACGCACUUCCCUCAUGGGAACAAACUGUACAAUAUCUCGAGUUGCUACACGUCCUGUAGAACUCUCUAACCAACAACUGUUAUCAGCAUCAAGGAUCUGCCAAACAAUAAGAAUCAGAACACAUAUAACAUUGUUGAGACAUGAAACCCAUUGUACCCAUUAAAGCAUUAAGUACUGAAAUGCCAAUAAAGCAUAAAUUAAUUGAAGUAUUGAAUGCUAAAUUAUGAAAACAAGGGUACACCUCCAUCUGUUUAAAAUCUGCUCCUCCCACUCCAACUAUCAGAAUUGAUAAGGGCAAAUCAGAUGCCCUGACCAAAGCAUCUUUUGUUUCUUGGAGAUCUGUAACUACUCCAUCCUAAAAAGAUGAUAAAUGACUUGAGUCCCCAAAAAAAUAAAGAAAAGAAAAGGGAAAAAAGAAUACGAAGAUAAAUGCAACUUUGAAGUUAGAUUUUCUUUACAAAGAAGUAGAAUAAAAUAAAAAUAAAUGCAAUUAUAAGUCAUUCUUCUCUCUACCGUUAUGAUAAGCAAAACAAAAUAUUUGCGGAUGUUAUAGGAGAGGGACUGGCGAGCAAUUUCAGCUGCAUUAUUGAUCACUUGUCCAAAUAAAGUCGGUCCUGCUAGAGCAACAUGGUUCAGUGCACUUGCAUAGGCAGCCAUGAUCCCUUGGACCCCUUCAACCUGUGAAAUAAUAGAAAUUUAAUAGUGUUCUAAUGGCCUAUUAUGAGGUCCUCAUAGAUCAGAACAUAGUCCAAGCAGGAGGAGGCAUCAAUAGGCAAUCCAGUACAAUGAGCAACACUAUGCUACAACUACAGUGUAGCUCAUCUAAAACAAUAUUUGGGAUGCCACAAUCAUGACAACUACGAACAAUUCAAACAAACAUGCGUCUUUGCUUGAUAGGUUACACUAUUUCUCUCUUUUUUCCCCCCUGCCCUGUUGGAACAAGCAUCAUUAGUAAAUGCAAUGAAGCACUAGAUAAUUUUGAGCAUAUCAUGACAGCUCUUCCAUAGACUAGUUAAACUAUCUCAUUUCACCAAAAAAUAUAGAGGGUUAUUUUUAAUUGAAGAGCAAACAUAACAAACCAAAGAGGCAAACUCCGCCAAAAAAAAAAAAAAAAAUGUUGUUUAUUCUAGGGUUUUAAGUGUUAGUUUUAUGGGCAAAUACAAGUAAAAAUGUUUUGUCUACACAUGGCAUGACAUGGAAUUCAGUCCAAAACACAAAAAUCAAAAUCUAAUUGCAAAUAAUCAGAACAAUAUAAUCCAUUUUAAAGGAUCUUACUUGUAGACAUUUCAAUUGAUAGCCAUUUUUUCUGUCUUUAAUAGUGAAGUCAAGUCUUCAAUAGAACAGAUUAUUUUCAUUUUGAGUUAAAAAAAUUUACUAAUACUAAAAUCUAGCAAAAAGAGUGAGGUGAUGAAUGUGGACUUAAAUCCAUUUCCUUGAAUUAACAAGAAUUUGCACUUUCACAACUUGGAAAAAAAUCAAGGUUUUCAUUAUGAUAAAUUGCAGAGACAAAUGUAAUAUAUCUUCUUUAUUGGUAGUUGUGUAGAAGACAAAUCGGAAAAACCCUGAGUCUUCUUACCUCAAUGCUGCUUGCACUUCCAUUCAAGUUAAAACAAUGUGAUACGGUACCAUCAAUUGUCCUUCCCCCAAAUCCCCACGCAGGAAAGCGCCUAUCAGAAUCAUAAAAUUGUAUGACCUCUCCGACCUCCAUUAUAGCCUGAAAGGAAUUCAAUCAAGAAAUUAUAUUACCCACUACAUCAAUAAAGACUGAUUUAUUUUGUGAGCUAACAUUCAAGCUAUAAACAUGGAAUUUAGUGUAGAAGAUUGAUUUAUUUUGUGAGAGGCUUAUGCUAAGCCAAUGUUAGGUUAAACCCCUCCUCCCGAACAUCCUUCUUUUGGCUUGCACAUGGGAUCUGUAAAUAGGGGAAAUACAGAUGCUGCAUGGUUUCAACUCAUCACCUCAUGAUAACCAAGUUGAUGUUAUGUUAAGCUACCAAGUUGUCCCAAAAAUUUAAGCAAUUAGAUAAUGGUGGAUCAACAAUGUAUACAAGGCUGGUGUUACGCUAAAACCCUAACGAAGUUAAGUCCGUCAUAAAAUCUACUACACUCCUCAAUCAUAUCCACGGGUUGGUAUCAAAAAACCAAAUAAUCUUUUUCCAUCAACAGAUCUCCACCAGUAAACCACUGGAUAGUGGGAACACAAUUUAAAUGAGCAUCUUCAAUUGAGCACUAAUGGUAGAUGGGAAGCCUUACCUGUUGGUAAGCAUUGAACCGGCCAGAAGGAUCAAUGUAGUGCAAAGAAUCUGGAGUUCGAGGAUUUCCAUUUGAAGCUGGACAAAAUAAAACGGCCGCUCAUGAAACAGAAAAAUUAUAAAAACGCAAAAAGAUAGCAAUCCUGCAAAGCUGAAGAGUAUUUACCAGUAAAAUCAACAGCAACCAUAAAAUUAAAUUCAAAUCCAUUAGAAACAUAAUCAAUAAAACUGUAUAGCUGCUUCUCACAAAAUUGAUCAACAAAUAGCUGGCCCUUCAAAACCUAUACAUUAAUAGUUAUAGGAGAUGUAAGGGUUAAAAAUCAUCAACUAAUGCAAUAUGUGGUUCCUUUUCCAAGUAUCAAACAAAUACCUUCUCAUGACCAUGCUGAGCAGAAGAGGGUAAGAUGAAACUGGCACCAGUUUUUUGUUUAUGAAGUUUUUCCAGGUCUGCCACUGAUUUCUGAAGUUUACUGAUAAAGGAAUUUUCAAAGUUGACAUAUCUCAGGAAACAAAGGAUGAUGACAUAAAAUUUGGUAAACCAAAGGAAAAAAAACUGAAAGGAUGAUAAUAAAAAACUAAUAAAAGAAAUAGAUUCAUUAAUUACCCGAUCAGUACAUGAUUCCCACUACUAUUGAAAUCAAAGCACUCGAUAACUAAUGGGUUAUCCUGCAAAGCAAAUGAGAAACAGAAAGUUUAGUAACCUGUAGGCUGGGGUAGUCCCACCAAGACAUCAAAUUGGUUCCAAAAAAUGUGGAUUUGACACCCACUAUCUUCGUAAAAAAAUAUGAAAUAACCAAGCACACAAUGGUUCCUUAAGUAAUGUAGUAAACAAUAACACAAUUUUUGUGAACUGAAAGACACUGUACUCAGGUAGCUCACAAAUUACUUGUAUCUCUUUUGUUACAGAGUAAUCACAAAUAUCUACAUUCAGUUUUACCAUAGACCACCAUCUAACUAGAAUUGUAAGAAGGUGAAAAACUUGCCUUGCUAACAAAUUGCUGCAUUGUUAGACAUAGAGGCCUCCAGAUUGGAUUCAAGUUGUUAUCAACCACUUCUGUCUUGCAAAUUGGAACAGAACCUCCAUUUUCAACAAUCCUAGAUAUUCUUAAAAAAGGGUCCUAAUAAAGAAAAAAAAAAAGAUGAGAAAAAUUUAACACCCAAACACAAAUCAAUGCACCUAUAAGUAACAAAAUGCUCUAAGUCAUGGGUUCUGAGUACAUACACUUUUAGAGAACAAGUCCUUGUUUUCCAAGUGUGAACAAUGGAAUAUAACCUCAAUAGCAUUCCUUGAAGCAACUGUUUCCUCUGCAUGGACAGUGAGUUUCCCUAGGUUUUUCAAACCCCUGUUCCCAUUUCUGUUAUGAAGAUCUAGGGUUAAGCUCUGGCCUUGUUUAGUCACUAUCUGCCAUGAGUUAAGCAAAACACAUACAAUGAAGUGUAAGUUCAAUAAUGACCACAUAUUUGUAAUGAAUAAUGUCCCAUAGACUUCCUUAUAUGGAUGACUACAUUUUUGCAUGUCUUGCCAUGUGUUACACAAGCACUACUGCACAAGCUUUAAAAUCAGACAACACUACACCUGUAUAAAGAAAAGUGCUCUCUCUAGAGAUGGACGGCUACUUUCAAAAGCCAUUUUUAUGCAGAAAAUUGAAAAUUUUCACUUGAAACGUCAUAGAAACAGCCAAAUAGCUUUUCUGCUACUUUAAAAACUUCACAGGAACAUUGCAUAAUAUACUGGUUAUGUAAUUUCUAAUCGACUUGAACAUAGGAAACAUGCAGGAUUGUGCAGCAUCAUUAAGUUGCGACAAACCAAGGCAAGUUACCUCUGACAGAACACAACUGCCUUCUCCAAGGAAUUCUUGAUCAUUCAACUUCAGCGUCUGCAAGGUCACAAAGUAAUAAAGUUGAACUCUGAAAUUCACCUUCUGAAAGUCUUUGAAGUAUAAAUCUGAAUGUAAAAGUUUAACCCUAAACUUAUUUAUGGAAAAGAAACAAUGAUUUCAAUUUUGAAAAUUGGUAACUAUAUAUAUAUAUAUAUAUACAAACUGCCAAAAAUUAAAUAAUUUGCUUAAAGCACAUGAAUAAAAUCUCUUCCUUAAAAUGUGCCAAAAAUAAAUAAUUUACCUAAAGCACAUGAAUAAAAUAUCUUCCUUAAGAUGUUCUUUGAAAAAUUCUUCUACAGACUUAUGAUGUAUGGCUACAAGCCUAUGUUUCUCAAAUGAAAUAUUAAAUAAAUUGGAUUUCUUUUGAGAAUUAUAUCAUGAAUUAUCAUUUGACUCUCGGAACUCACUACAUAAAUUUUGUAAUCAAAGGUCAUAAUUUAGGCUGAAAAGAUAAAAAUAUAGAAGGAACAAAAAGCAUUUUCAUUCGUGAAGGCAAUUCACAAAAUAAACAUGACCAAAUGCAAAUUGCUCAGGAACAUUACACCUAGGCACAUUGCAAAUAGAGAGGGAAUAAAAAUGUUGUCCUCAUAAGGACUUGCAUAUUAAGGAUGAAUUUUCAUGGUAAGAUAUUUAGAUUGCACUACUUUCCUUUGCAUUGGAAUAUGAAGAAAUUAAAAACAGUAUCAAUUUCUGAAAAUUUUGAGACCCGCCAAGAUAGCCUUGUUGAUCAGGGUGAACACUAGGAAGGGUGGUCGCAGUAAGUGGCACAUGGUCCUAGGUUCAAAUCCUGCCACUGAUUAUACCCUGAAUUUACCCAGUACUGGUUAUUGCAAGGCAGUCAACACCCGAGGUUUGGGUCCCCAUGGAGAGUCCUAAAGGUUGGCCAUGGAAGGUUCCUCAGUAAUCCAAAAAAAAAACAAUCUGAAAAUUUUGAGAAAACUCGACUUGUUGAGAAUAUUUGAGGUGAAUAUUAAUCAUAUCAUAGAUCUAAAAAGAUGAAGAUCUGCUGCAUUUUCUUACAAUGCUGAAACCAUGAAUAAACAAGGAAAGUGUAAAACCAAGUGAAAUUUAAACGAGCAAAUCGACUUAAAUGUCAUGUGAGAAAUUUGAAUCAUGAGAUACUAGCAUUAUUUUUAUUUCACCAUUCCUAAUGAUAAAUUUGGGGCUAUCUAACUUCCAGGUUUGCAUGCAUAUAACUAAAAGAAAAUUAUUUUUUCAUAUGCCCCACCACCAGUCAGAUUAAUCAUCAAGAUAAAGUGGGAGGCUAGGCAACAAGCAAGUGCUUAGGUUUUUCACUGUUAUUGAAUGCUUAGCAUUCUCAAAUAUUUGCAUAUAUAUUAAAUUAAAGCAGAAAAUUGUUGUACUUUGAUAAAUUGAUUGACAUUUUAGAACAUGAAGAAAACCAUUUGUCAUCCUAAAAAAGAAUAUGAAGUAGAGAGACCUAACCACCUUAUCAUUUAUUUUUCAUUAGAAACUCUAAAAUCAAUGUCCAGAACUCCCUUUUUCCCUAGUUGACCCAAACCGAACAUCCAAAACAUAGAAAACAGAAACAUGUUGUAUUAAGGAAUUUGUAGUGAUAUGAUCACCAUGGUAUAUCUAAAUGAAUCCAUUUAUUUAUGCAAAUCUUAAUCUCCACAAAAAAAUUUUAUUUGUCCAUCAAAUUAUUGACUGGCAGAUAUUGAACAAAUCCCAUCAAAAGUACAGUUUAUUGAAGUCAGAUUAAUAUUAUAGAGGAACUAAGAAGUAGAUUUCAAAUUACCUUCACAGGUAAAUUGUAAUAUUUUGUAUCAACGUCAUACACAUGAAAUCUGGAAACACAAAUGAGCAAACACAUGAUUGAACCGAUUACGCUAAAGAGAGGUCUAGUAGUGAACAGAAUAAAUCUACAUAAUGCAGAAAUGUACACAGAUAUAUAGCAUGCUUACAUCAAUGGCUGGACAAUCUCAAAAUGAUAGGCAACAGUAAUUUUUUCAAUCCAAGCUGGAUCCAAGCUGUUCAUUAUUACUUCUGUGCGCCCAAGUUCCUCAAGUGUUCCAUCUCUUUUCUUAGUAUAUGCUACCACCAUAGGAUCACUCUGCAAUACAAGGGGGAAAAGGAACUAUUUCAGUUUAAACCAUAACAUGACAAGCCUCAGCACCAUAUACCAGAACAUGUCAAAGAAAUAUUUACCAUACAGAGGCUACUAAAAUUAAAAGCAAUGCCAGCACUUUGAUAGAACAAGUCCAGGUAUCACAGAUCAACUCUACAUAAUAUGCAAGGGGCAUGCCACUCCAACAGUAAAAAAUUUUGACACGUGAAAUUAGUGAAAGAUAUAUAUAAAUACCUUAUGAAGAGCAGUAGGUUCUGAGUCUUUGACUUGUUUCUUUAGACCACUACUGCUACUUAUUUGGUUAUAUUGUCAUACAAAUGCCUAACACUCAUAUUACAGCUUUAUGCUGAGAUACAAAAUAUCAAAAAUUGUGUAUGCAAGAACACUUACAUGGUAGGAUAAAUUAAAUUUUAAGGUAGAUAGAUGGUAUGUGGUUCAGCAUGUUAUAUACAUACACAUCACCCAUGAUCCUCCCAACCUUAGGAUUAGUUCCCAUGAAUGGUGGGAGCUUAGUAAUGAUUCAUAAUUCAUGGUAAAAACUUUAUUAUAUAGUGCAAGUACCAAAUAGGAAAUAAAUUAAUCAGAGUCUAGGGGAUAUUUUGAUCAAGUUUGUAGGGUUGUCAAAUUCUAGCCCUGGCAAAGAGACUGUUUUCAGAGGGAGUGGCAGGAGAAGGGGAAGUCCCUCUUCUGUAAUGAAUGUUAUGAUAUUGCUCUUGAUAACAAUUCAUCACAGUCAAGUAAAAAUGCAAAUAGGACUAUAGAACAAAUCAUAAAGUGUUUCGUUAGUUCCUGAUGAAAAUUCAUCUUAUAUUUGCUUAAAUACAGAUUUUCUGAAUGGAUUUUCAGCCAGAAAACCUUGCUUUUUGAAAUAAGGCUUUUUGUUUAUUGGAAUUUUAUUUACUUUGAAAAGGAAAUUUUUAUAGAGACCACUUCUCUUCCUAUAGAUUUCCUCCUCAUGCAGUAUAUACUAUGCAUAAUGUGUUAUAAAUCACAUGCACUCUAGCACUAAUGAAGCCCGGAUUUUUCCCCACCAUCACCUACAGCUACAUGUUUUUGGUUGCAUUCUUUUCUAGGUUUCCCUGUAGCAAGAUUUCUUGUCCUUUUAUUCUACAUAAUUACUCUCUUAGUAUUUUUAAUAAGUUUUCACUCACAAUGGGACACCCAGGUAAGAAUUCCAUAUCCACGUGGACAAAUGAACAGGAAGAAGCAAGAAAUAGUAGCCGAAGUCAUUCAAAGCAUUCAAGAAUAAAGAGGAAAAAGAAAAAUCAAACUACCACAAACAAACUGACAUUUAAUACAACAAAGGAAGGUAGGCCCAAUAAGACAGCAAAAGAAUAUUGCACUAUGAAAACAAGUGUGAAAAUACAUGCCUUAGAGAUGAUGUCACGAUCACGUAAAUUGGAACCAGAUAAAGAUAGCUGCAGAAAUCAAUGAAAAGAUAUUAGUACAAUUUGAGGAACAAAAUCAAACAGACAGACAAUAAAGAGGAAUCGACACACUCUGAACAACAGACCCAUCCACGUUUCUAGAAUCACUACUGCCUAUGGUUAAAGUUAAAUGUCGAAUCUUCCAUUUCCAGGUGGACUUCUUACUCUUGGAGGUGGGUACAUUUCUAACCUCUAUUUUGAAAAGAGCUGGAUCCAAGGUCUGCAAGAUAUAUCUCCCUUGGGGAUCAUAGAAUGCUAAGGUCACCUGCCCAUUCUAAAAGGGCAUUUCAGAUAUUGAAUUAUAUUGAGCAUGAAGGGGAAAAACUCUCUUCUUUAAAAUAUCACGAUGCAACAUCCUGGUUUUAGUGUUCAACCUGACUUUCACAGCAUUAACACUGAAUAUUUGAGAAAAUGGUCAACCUCAUAUUCAGACACUCAGGGACCAUCAGAGCAGGUGAUAAAUGGAUGAUCAGUAUGGAAAUGCAAUUUUCUGGCCAGUCCUUCCCUGAUUUGAAAGUGCUUAAAGUGAAAAAAACCUAGUACAACUUCAGACAACCAAAAAAGUGGUCCAGGAUAUGAACAGAAGCCACAAAAAAAUACACUUUUUCACCUAUGAUUCCUUAGAUAAUCGAACAUCAAGUCAUUAUCACAUUUGCACACAUUUAGAUGAAAAUAAAAAGUUUGGAAUCAAUGAUUUUGUCGAUGCUCAAAAGUCAAAUACACAUCUAGAAUAGGGGAAUCUUUCCAUGUUUCUAAAAGGGGAGCAACUUUCUGGGCAGUCUUUUAGUGAGGAUGAGAUGGAAAAUUAGAAUGUCAUGCAAUGGCGGGCAGAAGUACAAUAUUAAAAUAUCAGGCAACAGGCAAAAAUUGCACCGAUUUGAGAGAUAUCCAAAAAGAUGAAUUUUCUUGGCACAACUAACCAACAACCCUUUGUAGAUAACCAAAUUUAUCAGUUUAUAUCCACCAUUCUUUUAGUAUUUUUAAAUCUAAUAAUAUUACGAUACCCUAUAGAGAAUGUAUGCUUCUGCAUCAGCAAUCCCAAAUACAACUCAAAAAUUGCCCUGCAGACCUCAUACACUUCAAUUAUCAAGCUCCACUCAUGGACAUCAAAACAGUGGGAUACAAAUGUUACCAUCCAGGAAGCGUUAAAAAGAAACCUCACUCUCCAGUAUACAACAAAAAAAGCAUAAUUUUCAUAAUUAUUCGUGAAAUUGAUCUCAGAAAAUUAUGGAUUAUUUCAUGAGUGAGAUAUUCUUCACAGAAUAUUUUAAAAGCUCUGUUUUCACUUGAGAAAACAUUUGCAAUUACUAUUAUAAAAAUAACGAUGACGAUUUUUUUGACCAAUUCCUAAUGAUAAUAGUAAUAACAAUUUCCAGGGCAAAUCGGUUGACCGUGUCCUCGUAUUGACAUUGCAAUCCAUUUUGGUUGCCAUUGCCAAGAAGUAGGAAUAGAAAAUUUCAAUUGACAACGAUUUCCUUACUCCACUUUCUCAUCAACCAAACACAACAUUAGGGAUUCGUAUAUGUAAUGAAAAGAAAAGUUUUAAAAAUAAUACGAGGAAAAGAAAAGAAGCAAAGAUAAUGCACAGCGAAAAUUUGCAAAAUGGAAUAAAACAACCCAGAAAAUAGAAUAAAAUCACAAAAGUUAGUGUUUGACCCAAUGUGUGGCUGAAAAAAAAAACAUUCAAAAUCGAAAAGAAAAUGAGAAAUAGCGUUUGGUUAGAGGAAAAAACAACAAAGUGUACGGGCGGCACCACCUCGAGCUGCGUGAAUAGUGGUUGAAUGCCUCGAGCUCGAAAGAAGUGGUCAACAGCGUCGUUGUGGGCAGCGUCGCUGGUGGGCAUGGGAGGCAGACUGGGCCCCGUCAGCCCCACUCCUACAGCCUGUUUCCCUCCUCUCACAUCUGAAAAACACCCUCCCAUCUCUAGAAUUUCAACUCCUUUGAUUACUCUUAUCUGUUUAACAGAAAGCAAAGACAGUUCAUUCGCAUGCAUAAGUGAUAUUUGCAUGUAUAUAUAUAUAUAUAUAAAGCCCACUUCCUUUCUUUCUGGUUCUCCAGAAUAUUUAAGGAGAAUUUUAUGGGGGAAAAAGGAAACUUUCAGGAAUCAGUACGAGGAAAAUUCAAUUUUAUUUGUUGUUCUUGGUUUUUACAAGGAAUAAAAGAGGAGACUUUGUUAGACUUAGACUUGGGGCUCAAGAAUUCUAUGGUCAGCUAGGCUCAGCCGACACGUUGGCGGCUUUUGCCACUUCUUUUCGCCUCAGGCUCGCAGCCUGCAUGCAUGAAUCCGCCUGGGAUUUUUGACAAGAAUACGAAAGUUUAAAAAAUAAUACCUAAACUAUCCUAGUAGAAAAAUAAUUUCAUGCCAUAUAAAAAUGAGGAAUUUUUUUAAAAAAAAAUUACCUAUUUAAAAGAUCAUUUACAUCAUUAUAAAAAAAUUAUAUAAAAAAAAUUGUCCUUCUAAGAUACGGUUUAUAAAAUUUCCUUUUUAAAAAAUGUAAGAAAGAUAUUAAGAAAAGUAAUUGCUAAAUUAUAUUCUUCCUAUUAAACAUAUUGAAUGGGGUUUAUAUAAGAUAAACAUCCCAAACGGUUGCAGAAAAUAUUCCACAAGACGUGGUCAAGUCAAUUACAAUGAAAAUAAACAUUUGAAUACAUCAGAAGUAAUCUGUUACAACAAAAAACUAACAGCUAAAGAAUAGCUCCUAUGAUUGGGCUUCAAUACGCCCCCGCAAGAUGGCAAUUCCAUCUGAAAUGCCAAUCUUGGAGCGAAGAAAAAGGAACCGACCUUUGGAGAGAGGUUUAGUAAGGACAUCAGCCAAUUGAGAGUGAGUGUUAAUAUGAGAAACUUUAAGAGAACCAUCAGCAACUUUUUCCCAAACAAAAUGGUAAUCCAAUGCGAUGUGCUUCAUUCGACUGUGGAAUAGCGGAUUUACACACAAAUAGGUGGCACUUAAAUUAUCACAAUAAAUAGUAGGAGAUUGUUGAAGCGUGAUACCAAGCUCAGAAAGGAGAUGAGAAACCUAAGUGACUUCAACAGCAGUAGAAGCGACAGCCCGAUACUCGGCCUCUGUUGAUGAACGAGCUAUUGUCUUCUAUUUCUUUGAACACCAAUAGAUUGGAUUGCCACCAAGAAAAAGAACAAAAGUAGUGGUAGACUUGUAAGAAUCUUGGUCGCCAGCCCAAUCGACAUCAGAAUAAGCUCGAAAAUCAAGAGGUGGAGUGACAUCUAAAUAAGCUUGAAGAUGGAGAGGUUGUGGUCGUCGAAAAGUGAGACCAAAAUGUAUUGUAUGUUUGAGGUAACGAAGCAACCUCUUAGCUGCAGUCCAAUGAGUUUGAGUGGGGGCAUGCAUGAAUUGGGCAAGUUUGUUGAUGGCGAAAGCAAUAUCAGGUCGAGUGAGCUGGAGAUAUUGAAGUCCACCAACCAAGCUCCGAAAUUGAGUAGCAUUAGUUGGAGGAGAACCAUCAUUGAGAGUUAGAUGGCUAGUUGAAGACAUUGGGGUGGAAGAAUUAUUUAUACCUUCCAAAUGAAACUUUGCCAACAAGUCACGAACAUAUUUAUGUUGAGAUAAAAACAUGCCAUCAGAAGUGGAAAUGGCCUCAACUCCCAAGAAGUAGCUCAAAAGACCAAGAUCCUUUAGGGAAAAACGAUGAGCAAGAGCAUCAAUGAACUUCUGAAUGGACUGAGAACAAUUUCUUGUUACAAGUAAAUCAUUCACAUAUACCAAAAAAUAAAUUGUGACUGACCGACAUUGAUAGAUGAAUAAUGAAGUAUCAGAUUUAGAAUUGAUAAACCCAAAGUUGAGGAGAAAUGUCUUUAACUCUGUGUACCAAGCUCGAGGGGCUUGUUUCAAACCAUAAAGAGUCUUUUGCAAGCAGCAAACAUGAGUAGGAUUAUCCUUAUCAACAUACCCAGGUGGUUGAGCCAUGUAAACAUCCUCAGUUAAAUUUCCAUGAAGAAAAGCAUUAUUAACAUCAAGUUGUGAAAUAGGCUAAUCGUUACUCAAGGCAAUGGAUAGAACAACUCGAAUGGUGGUUGGCUUAACAAUUGGGCUAAAAGUGUCAUGAUAAUCGACCCCAGGGCGUUGAUGGAAUCCUUUGGCAACCAAACGGGCUUUGUAUCGAGAAAUAGAACCAUUUGGAUUUCAUUUGAUACGAAACACCCAUUUACACCCCACAAUGUUAUGGUUGGAAGGAGGAGGUACAAGAACCCAUGUACGGUUGCUAGCAAGAGCAACAAGCUCAUCAUCCAUGGCAGCACACCAGCUGGGAUCUUGAAGAGCUUGAGAGGCAGUAGUAGGCUCAAGGGACGCAUGAAGCAGAUGUUUGGUGACAUGAAAACUUGUCUUAAAGCCAAGAAACUAUUUGGGACAAUAGAUAUUAUUUUGAGAACGGGUUACAAUUCAAUGAGAUGGCUCAAGUGGAGGAUUGGACCCUUGGGUUUGGGUAGGUGGUGACAAGGACAAAGAUGGAGAGGAAGUAUUAGAGGAGUCAGAAGACAAAAUGAGAGGGGAAGAGGAGAGAUCAUACCUUGGAGUAGCAUCACACACCGAGAGAGGAGUUGAAGUCAUAGUAGAUGGAUUGGAACUAGCAGGAGAACGUGAUGAGAGCAACUCCUGAUUAGGCCGUGUGGUAAUGGAAGAAGAUCCUUGGUGCGGGAAAGAUUCAGAGGGAGUGGGAACCACAAAAAAAGAAGGUUGGAUAACAGCAAGAGUUGGGAAACACGAAGACCAAGUGGAGACAACUUGGGCAAGAUCUGUAGGCGAAGUAUUUGAGGCAAGAGAAAAUUGAUGUUCAAUGAAUUGGACAUGACGAGAGAUGUACACACGGUUGGAAGACAAGUCUAAACACUUAUAAGCAUUGUGAGUGUUGGAAUAUCCUAUAAAGACACAGGGCUUGGAGCGUUUAUCAAGUUUAUGAUAAGAAUAAGGACGCAACCAAGGAAAACAUAAGCACCCAAAAGCUUGUAACUUAUCAUAGUUUGGCAAUUGUUGAAAGAGAGACUCAAAAGGUGUUUGAUGUUUAAGAACUGGAGUGGGCAAACGAUUGAUUAAGUAUGCAGCAGCAAGGAAAGCAUGAGACCAAUAUUUUAAAGGUAGAGAAGCUUUGUGGAGCAUGGUCAAACCUGUUUCAACAACGUGACAAUGUUUCCUUUCAGCAGAGCCUACAUGUUCAGGUGUGUAAGGGGGAGACACUUGAUGUUGAAUACCUUGUGAUACAAAGUAGGAUUUAAGACUUUUAUAUUCAGUGCCACCAUCUGUGUAAAGAGUUACCAAUAAUGCUUUAAAGUAUUUUUCGACCAUAGACUUGAAUUUGGGAAAAACUAUGUAAACAUCAGACUUGUAAGCCAUAGGAAAUAACCAAACAUAUUUUGUGAAAUAAUCGAUGAAAAUAAGAUAGUACCGAAAGCCAUCAAUUGAUUCAAUUGGGGAAGGCCCCCAUACAUCCGAAUAAACUAAAUCAAGAGGACCACGACUUUGAAGUGAAGAAACUCCAAAAGGCAACUUGUGGCUCUUAUUACAUAAACAUGACUCACAAAAGAAACCGUGGAAUGACUCAAUGGGAUAAAUUUGAAGAUUAUGUUUGCGAAUUAAAAACUGAAAAAUACAAGAUGAUGGAUGUCCUAAACGAUAAUGCCAAUUGGCAAGUGAUGUCUUGACACUAACACAGGCUUGUUUAGGAGAGGUACCCAUUAUGUUUCCCUUGUUAGGCCAAGGCCACUCAUACACAUCAUCCUUGUUCCGCCCUUGAGUGAGAUGCGCCCCCAUUUUGAGAUCCUUGACAACAAAAGAAGAAGGAAAAAACUCAAUAGAAGCAUUGUUGGUUUUACAAAACUUAGAGACAGAAAUUAAGUUUUGCUUUAUGGAAGGAACACAUAACACAUUAGACAAACAAAAAGACUUAGAAGGAGCAGGGAGUUUAGAAGAACCAAUGUGAGUAAUUUCGAGGCUUGAACCAUCACCCAAGAGAAUGUCAUCAGGACCUUCAUAAGGCUGGUGGUGGGAAAGAUUAGUUAAAUCGCCAGUAACAUGAUGGGAGGCACCAGAGUCCACAAUCCAAUUUGAAGACGACGAGUUCCCAAAAGAGGUGUGAUGAACCUCUGGCUGUUGCUGUAAGAGCCUCUUGGCUAAAUUGCAUUGUCUAGCAGUAUGCCCAUUUUUCUGAAAAAAUUGACAUACAACAUUGGAGUGAAAAUGAUUGUUAUGGCCUUGGUGAUUGCGGUUAUUAAAGAACCUUUUCCCAUUAUAACUUUGUCCAUUGCCAUAUCAAGGUUGGGUGUUGCCAAGACUUGUGCGAGUAUUAUUCAUAGUGACAUUUGAACCACCACGUGACUCUUCUCUUUUCAAGAAAGAUUCAUGUUCUACCAGCUUGUCAUGAAGUUCUUCAAAUGAAACAGGAGUGUCUCGGGCUCUUAUUGCAGCAGAAAUCUCCUUAAAGCCACUGCCAAGGCCAUUGAGAGCAAAAAUAGUCAGAUCAUCAUCACUUAAAUGAGUGUCAAUGAGAGCUAGCUCAUCAGCAAUUCCUUUGAUGGUUUGAAGAUACUCUGCAACAGAACGAGUAUUGCAAGUGAUGUUGGUAAGCUUCUCCUUGAGAUUCAUUACUUGUGAUCUGGAUUUGUUAGCAUAAAGCUUGUGAAGCUUUACCCAAGCAUCACGAGAAGAAGUAGCAGUAGCAAUCAAAGGCACAACUCCUUCUGAAAGAGAUGCAAGGAUUGCAUGAAGGAGAAAUUUGUCUUGCCUAGUCUAAAUAGCAAAAUUUGGAUUUGAAACAGUUGUUCCAUCUUCGGUAAUAAUUUCCUUGGAUGGGCAUGUCUUAGUCCCAUCAAGAAAUCCCAUGAGGUCAUAACCAUAUAGUAGGGCAUCAAAUUGUGCUUUCCAAGAGGGAAAGUUGUUGUUGUUCAAUUUGAUGGGUAGUUGGACAGUUGCAUUAAUGGAGAUAAUUCCAUCAAAGCAAGAAGUAGAAGAAAUGAGUGAUACAUUGAUUCUACUAGUUGUGUUUUCGGCCAUGGUGCAGGAUAUUUGCAAAGAGAGGUUUUGGAUAAAUAAAAAAAAAAACUUAUUAGAGUCUUUACUGCUUUGAUACCAUGAAAGAUAUUAAGAGGAGUAAUUGUUGAAUUAUGUUCUUCCUAUUAAACACAUUGAAUGGGGUUUAUAUAACAUAAACAUCCCAAACGGUUACAAAAAAUAUCCCACAAAACGUGGUCAAGUCAAUUACAAUGAGAACAAACGUUUGAAUACAUCAGAAGUAAUCUGUUACAACAAAAAACUAACAGCUAAAGAAUAGCUCCUAUGAUUGGGCUUCAAUAAUGUAUAUGCUAAAAUCGUCUUUUUAAAAUACGAUUUUUUGAAAUAAUAAUAGAAAAUUUGUGUCUUGAAGGAUGAUUUUCUUAAAAAAUAAAAAAAAAUAAAAAAGAAAGUGAGAAAAGAGAAAGAGUGCGAAGAAAGUGAUAUGGCUCAUGCAGCCUUGUACAUCUGAUAAAGCAAAAUAUGUAAUUGGACAUAACCUGGUGGUGGAUGGAGGAUUCACGUGCUUUAAAACUCUUGGGUUUCCUUCUCCUGAUUAGGUUGUGUAGUAUCAUGAUCUUCUUUCUUCACAUUUUUCCUUUUUUUUCAUAUAUGUUGAACAUUGUUUUGCCUAUCUUUUUUAACUUUGAACGAACAAAUUUGUGUUGAAAUUUUGGAAUUUAUGUAAUAAACACAUCAAGAAAUCUUGAAGAGAAAAUUUCUCACUUUUUUUAUUUUUUAGAAAACCAAAAGAUGAUUUUUUUUUUUAUUUACGAUUUCCCCUCAUUGUUUCAAGAAAUCGUCUCUUAAAGAGAACUAUAGAUUUUUUUUAAAAGGAAUUUUAGAAAUCUUAUCUUGAAAAGAUGAUUUUUUGGUAUAAUUUUUUUAAAAUGAUAUAAAUCGUAUUUUAAAGAGACAAUUUAAAUAUAUAUAUAUAUAUAUAUAUAUAUAUAUAUAUAUAUAUAUAUAUAUAUAUAUAUAUAUAUAUUUCUCUUUUCUAUCCGACAAAAAGUACAGUAGAUUUGGAAUUAUUUUUUCCAUUAAGUGGGAAUUAUUUUUUUCAUUAAGAUAGUUUAGUAAUUAUUUUUUAAAACUACCCAUACUCUUGUCAAAAAUCCUAAAUCCUUGACCAAUAAUCCCUAGGAACCUUUUAGCAUUAUUUGAACAUUUGCAUAGGAAGAACAUAAGAGAUAAGAGAUAAGAUAAUUUUUAAAUUUUUUAAAAAAUACAAAACAUAAAGUAUAUUUAAAUAAAUUUUAAAAAUUUUGAAAAGUGAAGUUUAAAAUAAUAAAUAAGCUUUUUUUUAAUAUAAAAAUUAUUAGUAUUCUUAAUUUUUAUUUGAAAAUAUAUGCAAACUAGACCUAAAGUCAUAUUAAUUUCCAAGUCUUCUGCUAAGUCUUUUAAUUUCAUUUCCACAGUUUCUUCGUCUUCCUGAUCGUCACCAUGAAAUGAUGCAAGAAGAAUCUAACAAAGAACCUGUUUGGCGGGAUAGAAAACUAACCAAGAUUCAGAAGAAAAUUGCACUGCUGAUGUCAAGAAGCUUAUAUCAUACUACAAACAUCAUGAUUGGACCGAGUCAUAGUCAUAUGAAAAUAAUUAAGGAAAUAUCCAAUACAAGACAAGUCCUCAACGGACCUGGACUAUUUUAUGGUCGCCAUGUUAGUCUCUUUGCCAUUAUCCACGGGCCCUCUCUUUUCUUUUUCUUUUUUUUUUUCAAAAUUAUUUUCUCAUUUAUAUAAUUAAUAUAUAAGAGCAUGCCUUUAGAAACAUCUAUAAAUAAUUUUUAAGAGUUGUUUACGUUGUUUUGAAUGUCCUAACAAUAUUCUACCUAAACAUUUUUAUGGUCUCCGUCAACUUUGGAUCACCAACCAACCUACCUUCCCGCGCUUUGGAUUCUAAUUCUUGUUUUGAUUGUAUUCCCAAACUAGGUUCCAUCUACCAAUCAGCAAAUGAAAGAUAAAAUAUGGAAUCAAAUAGCCUAAGACGUAUUUGGGAUGAUGAAAUGGCGGGGAAUAAAAAUGAACAUUUAUUUUCAUUCAUAUAUUAUUUUUAAUAAAAAUAAAUUUGAUGAUUCUAAUUUUUGGAAUGUAAGGUGAGGAUAAUUAUUUGUUUUCAUUUUAAUCUUUUAUAAUAAUGAGAGUGUGAAUAGAAAAAGAGAUAAAUUAAAAAUAAUAAUAUCAUGACACAUGAUCUAAAUAAUUUUUUUUUAUAUUUUAAAACAACAUCUUUUAAGAGGUUUUUUUUUUUACACUAAAUAAUAAGAUUAAGUUAGUAUUUGUUUUUUUAACUUCAUUUCAAAUAUAACUUAAAACUAAAUAGUGUUUGAUAGUAAUGAGUUGUUUAUUUUUUUAAUAUUUUAUUUUUAUUAAAUAUUAAAAAUAAAAAAAAUAAAAACCAAUAUGUUACUUUUACCAUAUUUGGUUUUUUUUAUUGAGUUAAAAAAAUUAAAAAAUAAGUAAUAAGUUAACAAAAAGUGAAAAAAAAAAAUAAGCAAUUUGAAAUUUGAAAGAAAAUUGGUUUUAGUAUAAAGUUAAAAAAACAAAUAUUUUAUUUUUUGCAUUAAAAAAAGUCAAAUACUUUGAGUUUUAAGAAUAAGUAAUAAGUGAAACAAAAAGGUGGUGGUUUUUUUUUUUUUUUACUUAAUUCUAAAUAGAACUUUAACACUUAAUACUAUUAAGUAUUAGGUUGUUUUUUUAUAUAUAUAUUUUAUUUCUAUAAAACAUUUAUUUAAAAAAAUUAACAUNNNNNNNNNNNNNNNNNNNNNNNNNNNNNNNNNNNNNNNNNNNNNNNNNNNNNNNNNNNNNNNNNNNNNNNNNNNNNNNNNNNNNNNNNNNNNNNNNNNNAAAAAACACUUAAAAAUGCUAAUAUUUAUUCAAUAAAUAAAAUUAGCAACAAAAAAUAUGCCAACUGAAUGGAAAUAAAAUGGUAAAAUAGUAAUUUUAACGGAUAUCAUUUUUAACCUUAUUAUCAAAAAAUGAAUAACAAUAAGUCUAAUUAAAUGUUAUAAUUUUCAUAAAAAUAAUAUAAUAAACUGUGCAUUAUUAAUUUAGUUUAUUAUUUGGUAUUAAUUAUAAAUUAUUUUAUAUUAUCACAUCAAUAUGGUAUAUUUAAUAAAUUUAUCAUUUUCUUUACUCCUUUAGCAACGUGGGGUUGAAAAUAUAUAUAUAAAUAAGAAAUUAAAUUAUUUGAAAUACACUCUUAACACUCAUAAUUAAAUUUUAAAAAAUUAAGAUUUUUUUGAGAAUCUAGUAAUAAAAAACAUAAUUUUCAAUAUCUCAAAAAUAAAAACCACAUCUUAAAAGUUAUUAUGUCAUCUUAUAUAUAUAACAUACAAUUAAAAACUUUAUUAACCUAAUAUAUAAAUAUUCAAUUUAAUAACACACAAUUAUUUAAUGAAAUAACACACAACUAUUCAUUGAGUAAUAUAGCACAUAAAAAAAUUAAACAAAAAUAAAUUAUAUUAUAUUAUAAUAUAUUGUAAUUUUAGUGUAUUUGUAUCAUAAGUAUAAUAUAUUUAUGUCGUAUUUAUAUUUUAUUAUAAAAGUAAUAAUUUUAAAAAUGCUUAUUCAUAACCUAUUGCUAUUCAAAUAUCAUUAUCACUAUAUUAACAUGAUUCCCCCAACACAUUGAAAUUAUUUAAUAAUUUUUGUAUAUAAAAAAAUAAAAAUAAAAACCACAAGUCUCAUGAAUUCAAAUUAGUAUUUCAUUUUAUUUUAGAAGUGAUUCAUAAUAUAAAUAUGUUAUGAAAUAUGGUAUCAUCAUACAAAACUAUCACUUUUAUAAAAAAAAGUUUAAAAUUUUCCUAAUUAUGUUUUAUUGUAAUGUAUUGUAAUAUAAGUAUUUAUAUUGUAAUUAUAAUAUAUUUUUAUCAUACCUAUAUUUUAUAAUAAAACUAAUGAUCUUAGAGAUAACUUUUUAUACCUCAUUAAUAUUUAACAUAUCAUAUAUAUUAACAUCAUCCACUCGAUGUAUUGAGGAAAAAAAAAAGACGAAAAAAUUAUAUAUGAAAAUUAAGGAAAAAAAAAUACUAUGCAAAGGAAAAAAAAAUAAAAAAAAAUCAUAUAAAUUUUUUAAAAUUAUUUUAUUAUAAAAAAUAAAAAAUGAGUAAACAUUCUCCAUCAUUUUUUUUAUUCUUUUUAGAUAAUUCAAAUAAAAAAAUUAAAUAAUCUAUCUUCGUCCAAUUUAAUACAAAAACAUAAUUUAUCAAUUUAAAAUUAGAAAAAUAUAUAUGAAAAAAAAUCAUCAUUUUUAUUAUAUAAUUAUGAAACUCGCUUUUUCCUUAAUAAAAAUGCAAAAAAAUACAUUAAAUGUUAUUUUAAAAAUAUUUUUAUUUUGAAAAAUAAAUUUAAAUAACAAAUUAUACUAUUAUUAUUGUAAGGAUUAAACCCAAAAUUUUGAUUUAAAAUUCGAAUGUCAAUAAUUAUAAUAAAUGUGAAACCUACUCACCCUAAUAAAAAGUAAAGUGUUUUAAAUACUUUGAAUUUUAAAAGUAUUUAGUUGAAGGACAUUUUUGGUAUUUAAACCUAUUAUUGUCCUUCUUAAGAGUUAUCAAAAGAGACCACCAUUUCCAGUUAUUUUCUUAUUUAAUCUACCCCAUCAGGUAAUUCUCUCGAGAAAUUGCAUUUGAUGUGAGUCGUAAUUGACUUUUCUCUUCGAUUGCGCGGCAUUGACUAGUAUGACUCCAUUAAUAUUUUUCAUGCGAAUCUUCAUGACUAGCUCAAAUAAGAAAAAAAAAAAAAUCCAACACCUUCCUACACGUAAAGAUAAAGGUUUUGUUUCCUUGUAUGAAAAUACUAAAUAAAAAAAAAACAUAAAAGAAAUUAAAAUUUUUUAAAUUAAUAAAUUAUUUUUUAUUUAUAUUUUAAUUUUUUAUAUUAAAAUUAAAAAUACAAUUUCUUAAUUUAUAAAAUAAUUUUUUAAUUUAAAAAAAUACAUUUAAUAAAAAAUAUUUUUGAAUAAUUUUUUCUAAAAACACUUUAUUUAUUUUUAUAAAAUAUCUUGAGUAAUAAUAAUAAAAAAAACAAAGAAUAUAUUCCUUCUUUGGUUGUCUUCCUAAACAAGGGAUCUAUGGAUUUAUCGAAAGAUGAAGACAAAAUAUGGCAUUAUUAAAUUUUAAAUUGACACGUAAGGAAUCGAAUAAAGUCUCUUCCUUUGUUACCCCUUGUUUCUAAAAGUUGAAGGAGAAUGGGAGUUGUAACUUUCCGCCAUGAAAAAGUUCAACUUCUGUGGGUGCUUUUAGUUUCAAGGAUGCUUUAGGAGAUAAAGAAAUAAUGGUGUCAAAGCGAUGAAUAAGACCCUCACGUUACUUCCUUUGAACACAAAUAUGUUAAAUUUGUGAGAAAUUACAUAUCACGUGUAAUUCACGUUUGUCUCCUAUCACAUGGCAAUGACUUGUAAAUGAGUCUAUUAAUAUAAUCCAACAUGACCAUGACUAGCCUCAAUAGUUUUCCACACAAGGUUCUACAUAUAGCAAAUUAUAUGAUAUUUCGAUGAAAUUUCAUGUGUUGACGGUUCCAAUACGAUAAAUAAAAGGAAAUUCUUAUUGUUCCAGAAGUUCUUAUUAUUAACGUUUUUCGUAUUAAUCCAAUAUUAAUAUGGUUGGUCUUAAUAUUCUUCCACACAAGAUUCUAUAUAUAGCAAAAUGUACGUGUGUUGGCAUGUCCAAUACGAUAAGUCGAGGAAAAUUCUCAUUUCUUCAAUAUUUUCAACUUUUUUUCAUUGAUUUAAUGGUGAUAUUUUAAUAUACUAUAUUAGUGUUAUUUUUCUUUUAAGAAAUUAAAUAUUUGAAAAAAUGGAUUUAAAAGACCAAAGAUACAAAUAAUUUGAUUUUAUAAAUGCAUAAGAAUAUAUCAAGAUCAAAUGAUAAUGAUGGAUAAAAAAACUCAAUUAAGAAUUUUUGUGCCAAUUCAAGAUCACCAUAACUAAUCCAUACAUGAUUUCUUAUCUUCGCCGCAUUGAUGCAAAUUGGAGACCGGAUAACGUAAAGAAGAAUCAGUUCAUUGGCAUAGAAAAUGAAUGAGAAACUGAAAGCAAACUGCAUGGGAAAUGCAUGGGUCAAAGUCAAACCUCGUACUUGUACGCGAACGUGUCUAUAGAAAAUUAAGAAAUUCUGUAGACGCGGGCUUGCAGAAAAUUCAUUGCUUAAUUAGUAUUUUCUUGUUUUCUUUUGUCCUUUUUGUGUGUUUUUUUUCUCUCCCAUGAAUAGUCCAUGGAAUUGAGAAAAUACGAGACAACUGCAUCGAAGACUUCCACCAUUUCAUGGUUAAGGGAUAAUGGACGAUUGAUUGUUCAUCAAUAAUGAUAUCCACAUGAAAUUCUGAAUAUAAAAUUAAUAUUAUAAUUAAAAAACUUAAAUACAUAUAUUGUUACGAAAGAAUGAGAAUAAACAAUAUAUUACAAAACAAAACAAAAAUACACAGAUUUAUGUGAAAAAUUCUAAAUAUGAAAAAUCACGGAUAAAGGAAAAGAAAAUCCAUUAUAUAAAAAAAUUGAUACAAAAGAGGAGAAAUGCAAGUGAAUACUACAUGCUUAAUCCUUUCACUACCUUUAUAAACCCUCUCCAAAAAAUCUCAUAAUUUUAGUUUUAUCAUAUGUAUCAUACCAUAAACUUUUUUUAUUGAAUAAUAUAUAUAUAUAAUCACCACCUAAGAUUUUAUACAAAUUUCUUUAUAGAUGAUUAUGAUCAUCGAUGGAGUUUGUUCUCUUUUGAUUUUUUGUAAUGAUGUUAAUCUUCAAUUAUUUUGGUAAGUGAAUCAAUAAUUUUAUCAUAUUUUUAUCUUUUAACAAUGUUACAUAUGACUGAUAUGACAAAGUUUGACAUGAUUUACUAGUAUAACUCGAACUUAACACGUUUUUCAUGAAUUUGAAUAGAGUAUAAUUAUGUUCGAGUCAUAUUCAUACAUUGACUUAUAUAUAUCAUUUAAUAAAUAAAUUAUUUUUUGGUCAAUCUACAUAACAUGACUUUGAAAAAAAAUAAUUGUAACAAUUAUCUUAAUUAUAAUCAUAACCUAUCGAACUUAUAUUUAAUUCAUUUAAAAUUUAAUUUUGAAUAAAUUAAUCAAUUGAACCAUAAAUAUGUUAGGUUGAAAGAUUAAUUGUAUUAACUCAAAUUAGACCCAACCCGACUUAAAUUAUCAAAUGAGUUACACAACAUCUUAAAGAUGUGUUACAUGUUUACCAAUUAAGUCAUGUUUGGUUGAUUCUUUUAACCCAAUUACAUGUAUUAAUUGCUAUUUUACACUCUAACUUACACCACCUUUUUAUUUUUAUUUAAUAUUAAUUAAUUCUCCUUUGGCUUCCAGUUUUUAGUUAAGAAUAAUUUUUUUUCCAGUUUUAUACCGUUAAAAGGGAAGCCAUUAACGGUAGUCAGAAAACUAAGCCCAUAAGUUUAUUUUUUCUAAUUUAUUGAUUUAAUAAAAUAGAUAAAUUAGAAAAACAAGAGAAGACAAAGUCAGUGCCAACUGGAGGAGUAAUUUUAAACAUGAACGUGUUUAACUAUGAUCAAAUAAUUAAAAUGAAUAAAGAAACAUAUAUAUUAAAUUAUUUAAUUUUUAUAUAGAAAAUGAAAUAUAAGUCAAAUGAAAUUAUUGAAGCAUAUAAAUAUAAUUUAUUAUUUUCCUUUUUUUUUUUUCUUGUCUUUCUCUUGCAUUUUUGCCUUAAAUUUUUUAGAAGCCAAACACAAGGAAAAGAAAAUUUUAAUAAGAAAAAAAAACCCUAAUUCUUGAUAAGUAAAUUUAGAUGAAAAAAUUACAAAAAAAAAAAAGAAAAUCGAAUAAAUACAAAUAAAUGUUUUUUCUAAAUUCAAUAAUCACUUAUCAGAUGUGGUGUGAUAAUAUUAUUUUUAAGUUUGAAGACGAGUCAUUAAAAAGAUGGUGACAAAACAUCAUUAAAAGUUUAAUCCAUCUUUAUAGACAUUAAUUAGUUUUUCGAAGAGAUAAUAAAACAUCGAUAUAAGAAUUAAUAUCAAAAUCAAGUUCAUGAGUUUAAAUAUGACUGUGUGAGCAAGGGAGAAGAGUAUUUUUUUUAUUUUAAGUUAAAAAGUCGAUGGUUCCUUGUUCAAUUUGAAAGCUUUCAUGAUAUUUAAGUGUUGAAUUUGAAUUAGUACAAAAACCCUUAGCCCUUAAAACAAGAAACUAUGACUGCUCAACCUAUGAAGGCCUGAAGUCUAUCCAUUUCGUGUAACAAAUAAAAGUCAAAUCUUAAUUAUUGAAUAUAUACAUAUGAAGCAAAAGAGACUUCACCUAUGGUCUUUGUUAACUAGGAUAGCCAUCCUACCUACCAAUAAUAUGUAUAUAUCUUUCUGAAGUGGCAAUCCAUAGACUAAUGGGUACAGCUAGGAUGACUCGAUUUUAUUGGAUGUUAUUAAAAGUUGCGUCCACGUAAUAUAUCCACUGAUAUAAUUAUACAUAAAAAGGGGUAUCAAAUCAUGUCGUGUAUUAUAUUUUAAUCUUAUUAUUAUUUUAUCCAAAGUCUAAUGGCAUCAUUUAUUUAUAACUUAACGUCUUAUAUUUGUGUUCUCAUCUAAAAAUUUAAUUUUACUAUAUCUUUUCAAUAGGUCCGGUCAAAACUUCAAUAGAUACUUGUCCAAUUGGAUUGCAAAAUCUGAAUUAGUUUUAUUAUACUUCACUUGAGAUGUCGGGAUAGACCUCUUCAUUGGGCUCACGAGAGAAAUUUUUUUUAUAUGAUGAAUGACGAAUUUACCAUUAUUAUAUAUAUUUAACCCUUUUAUAUUUGAAAGUUUUGUUUCCAAGGAGGAGAUUUUUUAUUUUUUUUUAACCUUCAUCAUUAUGCUCUUUGUUCCUUUAAUUAAUGGAUUAUCGAGUGUUAAUGUACUCUGUGAACGUAGGGAUCAUAAUGAUUGUCAACCUGUGUCAAAAUUUUUAUAUUUUUAUGAAAUUUCUACCCAUGUGUUUUUCUUAAAAUGAUAUCUUCUUAAUUCUUAUUAUAGUAUCAUAUUUUACAUCAAAGGCCCGGAGAUAAGGAGAAGUCAUGACACCAUGUAGUAUGUGUUCAACAUUACUUAUGUUGUAAAUAUUUUCAUUUUUCAAGAUCAAAAUGGCAGACAGAUUAUAUUUGAAUAUCUUUCAUUUUAAAAAACAUUGAAAAAAAAAUUAGAAUUUCAUAAAAUAACUCAUUUUACAUGCUGGCCCAAACAUUUUGUCAGCGUAUAUGAACAUGUAGAACCAUUUCAAAUGGAAGAAACAAGAUGCAGAUACAUGGUGAGAGAGAAACUAAGCUUAGUAUGAAUACUGUAAGGUCCAGAGAGAGACAUUAGCAUCUCCUGUAUUUGGGUAUUGAAAAAUUCGUGUUGGAGAAGACAGAAGAGAGUGCCUUUGCAGUUGGGUUGGGCUGCAUUUCCUCACACUAAUGGUUGGAAAGUUGGACCACUCUCUCCUUUGAUCCAUGUAGCAAAAGAGCAAGGCCUGAUUGAUAAGUGAGAACUCUAAAUCAUGCUUUCUAGGAAUAGUCUUAGCAUUAUUAAAUUUUAUUAAACAUGGGACAUAUUUUUAUUUUAUUUUAUUUUUUGGGCAAAAUAAGGAUUUUUAUAAGGGGCAGCAUUAUUAUUACUGCUAUAUGACGCUAAUUUUAAAACCAUAACCAACAUUAUUCAGAUUACCCAAAUGCAAAUAAAAAGCACUUUUAGGGUCAUAAACAAUUCUGGGCUUUCAAGAAGCUAAUUCAAACAUUGCUACAAUGUUUUAGCCCCUCCUUGAUCCCAUCAAACAUAGCUUCUGUGUGAUGAAAAAAAAAACAGGCACAAAUGGAAGUUCAAAGCCAUGGAUGUGAUGAGAGAGUACAGACUUGGAGAGCACUCAUCUUGGGGUGGGCUUUACUAUCUGUGAAACUCAUGAGGGGCUCCAUGAUUUGCAAUUUGGCAUUUAGCUUCCAAACUCAAAGAGAACUACCGGCAACCAAAAUACGCACUUCAUCCUUUUAAUGAUGGCAGAUAACAUGUUGGGUCUGGGUAUAUGGGCCGGGGAAACCACAGGAACAAGUUUAAGCCAGGAUUACCCACUCCAUUCAGCCUAGGCUGCACCAAAACAUCCUCUCUGACUCUGAUGUUUGCCAAUUAAUUCUGUGCCCAGACAACGAGUGUGUAAAAUAAUGCUCAAAACCUUUAAAUACUGUCUAAAUUUCAGUUACACGAAGGGCCAAAAUAUUCAACAAGGGGAUGAAGGAUGCAACCUCAGGUCAACGACGGAAUGAUGAUGGACCUGCAAAUGAAUAGAGAGAAGAAACCGGGACAUUCCCGGGUUCAGGCCUGGCCUUCUGGUAGUGGUGUAUCUGAUCAUAUUUUAAUGGAGCAUCAGAAGCAUAGGUUGAGUAUAUCCUCUCCAGGGUAUCAGCCUCUCUCAUUCGCAUCUGAUCGGUCUCACCCAAGUAGGGCUCUGCCCUGCCACUAAGAAAAUAAGAUCCCGCCCUGACUUCCUCUCUUCUUGGUGGUGGUGGAUAUGUAUCCACAGGUACACUAGAAUAAGUGCUAUAAUAUGGAUCUCUUGGGUAAGCAGAAGCAAUAGUUACAGUUGCAGCAGGGAUUGAAGAUGGCAAUUCGCGUCUUGCACCAAGAUGUGAAGUAAGAUACUCUCCUUCAUUUAUAAAAGUAGUGUGACGAGGAAGAGGUUCUCCAUGCACAGAAGCAGCGUUCUUUAAAAGGUGCCCUCUUUCAACUACAGCAGCAGCAGGAUUUGCAGUUGCAGGAAGGACUGACAAUGGCAAUUCCCGUCUAGCCUGAAGACCCUGAGUCCGAUACUCCAGUUCAUUAACAAAAGGAGGAUCUCGGCCUACAUGUUCUUGUCCAUGAGCAACAUCCACGUAUAUAGGGGCCUCUUGCCUCAGAAGGUGCUCUCGUUCAUGAGCUGGAGGAGUCAUAUUCCUACUUGCUCUCUGAAGGCCAUAAGUUCGAUACUCCUUUUCACUCAUAAAUGAAUCAGGAGGAAAUUCCUCUACCCUCGGCUGGUACCUUUCAUGAGACAGCACAGGGUAGCUCCUAGCAUCACCUCUAGUGCUUGCUCCCUGAAGACCAUAAGUUCGAUACUCCUUUUCACUCAUAAAUGCAUCACGAGGAAAUUCCUCUGAUCGAGUAGAUGCUGCCUCUCUGUAUGCAAUAGGAUGGUGUCUUUCAUGAGACAGCCUGGAGUAGCUCCUAGCAUAACCAAUGGUGUUGGGAUCCCUAAGCAAUGGUUUACUGUGUGAAUGGGAUUCUCUUUCUCCUCUGUAAACUUCCCUAUCACGCUCUCUUGCUCUUGCUCUGGGUGGAGAAUGGAUAGGCAGUGCUUUUGAAUGGAUUUCAGUGGGUCGGAAAAGUUUCAUGAGUUUCUUAAC